rnacentral:lncRNA from 1 species
UUUGCCAACUCUCUUGAGGUUCUUCUCUGUCCUUCUCUGCCUUCUCUGUUCUUCUCUUGAUUCUUAUUAAGAAAGACACAUGAUUUUAAAAUGUUGAACCCAAAAUUUUACUUGCAUUGCUGCCUUGAUUUACUUGUUUACCACCAGAAGAUUUUUGGCUGUAUCUUGUAAUCACUUUGUAAGAUGAAUUAGGAAAAUUCCUUCCAAAAAUACGCCAUGAAAACUUUUGAAUGACCAACAAACCCUUAUAUAUCCCAUGGCAAGAACAAGGCCACAGAAAACCUACAAGCAUUUGUGGCUAAAUUUCCCAAACAGGUGAAGCCAUAGAUUCCACAGUGGUUCACUUGUAGCUAAGAGAGCAGUUAGGCUAGUAUGUCAACUCUGGCUGUAAUUUCGUUGUUUGUUUUCCAAGUCUUUUUCUGUUUACCUUUUCUCUGCUGCUUGUUUGUUUGGAUCACAUUGUUUCCAAGUUCUCAACACUAUCCCUACGUGAUUGUUCAAAGAGUCUCUCAGUGAAUGCUUAGUUUAUUCUUCUUGACUUUCCUAACCCCCAAAAGAAUAUCAUAUUAAAAAGCAAAAAAUAAAAUGUAAGAGAGAGAGAGAGAGAGAGAGAGAGAGAGAGAGAGAGAGAGCAACUUUUCAAGAAAACCCAGAACAUGAUAAACUCUUUUGGGCCAUAGAUCUGAGUGCCAAUGUGCUGAUUUGAAUCAGAUGGUAGGAGGAAAUUCUAUGUAAUAAUAAUAUACAUGUUGACCUAUUUAUGUGGCACAUACUUUACAACAACAUAAUACAACAAAUGACAGUCUUCAGGGAAGUGAGUGAAAUUGUGAAAAAUUUCAUGUGCUGUUGACAGGUUUGAUGUGCUUGUAGUUUUGCAAUUAUCAAAUUCUUUGCACUGCAAGCAAAGAAUAGAAAACAGUGCUUUCUCAUUCAAAUGCGUCCAACAAACAAGUCCAAGACAAUACAAAACAACUCCCCAUGACACUCGGCUCUAAAUGCAUGCAGGGGUGUGGGGUAGAUACAGCCAUCCAUCCUUGUGUCUUUAUAAAAUCUAAUGUCAAAUCUCUCUCUGUAUUUUAUUGAUAUUGUUUUGUUAUAUGCUUUCUGUCUAAAAGGACUUGGGGGUUUCCUUUCUGAGCCAAAUUCCAACCCCAUGAAGACAAACAGAUGGUUGCUGCCUCAUCAUCAUCUAAAAAGUCUUCUAUUGCUGUGGCUGGUAUCCAAUGCCAGUGCCACAUUUAUUUUCUUGAAGAGGAAACUGGGGAAACACAGCCUCCUAUGUGAUAUGUGACUUUUUGGUGUUCCUUGGAAGAAGAAGAAGAGGCAGAAAGAUGAAACUCAUAUUCUGAAUCUGAUGCAGCAUAUGGUUUCUUUUACCUUUUCAAUUGAAAUCCACAAUUAAUUAAGCAAAUUAUUAGCUGAAAAAUGAACCUAUUAGAGUUGAACAUAGUGAAAGUGGAUUGUUUUGAUGACAACCGUGAAAAAAAACGCUAACGUCAAUCGUGUGUGAGUACAUGACAGAUGGGUUGCCAAAUUCUAAAGAGGUCCUCCUCCUUUUAAAAUUGAAAUAUGAACACACACCCUACAGCUACAGGACCCCACUACUCUAUCUACUAGGUCCACCCCUAAGCUUAAUAGUAACCAUAGACUUGCAGACCAAUAUCGAGGCACGGCUCAAUUCUGUAGAUUGGCCAAACUUAUAAGUUAUUUCCCAACGGCCUUAAAACCAAAGUCUUGAAGAAUUCACUGCUACACUACACACACAAUAACAAAUAUAAAAACAACAAAAACAACAAACAACAAAUCUACUUGACCCCAAAAAACAAUAUUUAAAAGCAGGAAAAGGGAAAAAAGCAAAACAUUCAGCAUUGGUUCCAGUUAUUUGUGCCUUGGAACUUUUCCUUUGGCCCCUUCUCUCUUCCUUCGAUACCCACCACACAAUCACAUCACACGCACUUCUACGUGCCCCUUCCAUUCCAUCCCUCUCCAACUCUAAACUCUCACCAAAACUUCAUUUUUCUUUUUGUUUAAUUAGUAAAACUCUCUUAUUUUUUGUUACAUAUAAUAAAAAUCAAAUGUUAACCACAUAUAAACUUGUUUCGGAAUGACAAAUUAGAAGUGCGAAUAACGUUUUCUUUAUAAAAAUCAUCGAUCAAUUAAUUAAGUAAAAGUAAAGAAUUAGUUGGUGCGAUUUACAGUAUCCACUCGUAUACUGAAACUAUCAGCUAAUAAUCAGAUAAUCAGAUACUGUAAAUUGGUAUCUAAUGCCAACUUGCUUAUCCUAAGGUUCUUAACCAAAAAUCAAAAGAAAACACUCUCUCUCUCUCUCUCUCUCUCUCUCUCUCUCUCUCAUGCACAAGUCAAAACCCCUUAACGGCUAAACCCCCCCACUUUAUAACUACAAAACACUCUCAUCUCACAUUUUCAUGCACAAGUCCAUAUAAAUAUAUAUAUAUACACCCAUGAGUCUCUCUCCACCAUCUUUACUCUCUCCCCCUCCCCUCCUCUCUCCCUCUCUCUAGUGCAAGUGUUUUGAGCUAUAGUUAGCAGUCAUACCUCAGUCACUCCAUCAAAAUGCAUCAUCAGAAGACACCAUCUUCAGAAGACAAAGAGAAAAGGCCCAAGUUCUUCAUCAACGACCACAUUGACAUCCUCGUCGAGAUCCUCAAACGCCUCGACGGGCCCUCCCUCGGCGUCGCCGCCUGCGUCUGCCGCCUCUGGUCCACCCUCGCCCGCAACGACUCCCUCUGGGAACACCUCUGCUUCCGCCACGUGUCCUCCCCUCCCCCCUCCUCCGUCCGCCCCGUCGUCGUCGCCCUCGGCGGCUACAAGCGCCUCUACAGGGUCUGCGUCCGCCCCGUCCUGAGUCGACUCAGCGACUCGGACCUGGUCAGGCGUGUCUGGACUCGAGACGAGGUCCAGCUCUCGCUCUCCUUGUUCUGCGUCGACUACUACGAGCGAAGCGGCAGGCUCGGCGGCGGUGGCGGUGGCGGGGAUGCGUCCGCAUCGUCCCUCAUGUUCCUCUGCAACACCGUGAACGUCUGAUUCGUUGACUUUUUCGCUGUUUUGACUGUAGUGGGUCCUGAUGAGGGUUGAUAGUACUGGUAUUACUUUAGUGAUUUAGUAUACAUAUCAAUUUUUAUUUAGAAAAAAAAUAAAUAUUUUAUUUUAUAUUUUAUUUAUUAUUAUUGGGUAUUUAAAUAAUUGUCACUUGAUUUAUUUUGGAGGUGGGAAAAAGUGUGAGAUGGUAGUUACCUAAUUCCUAUGCUUAAUUAUUAUAGUAAAAUUGUUGUAAUUUUCUUCUUAGGAAUUGGUAUAUUUUGUUUAUUUAUUAAUUUAAUUUUCAAAUACAUUUGGAAGUCAGAAUCUUUGGCUUUAGGCUAAGUAGGCCUUGACAAUGAAGGUGGGUAGUGCCAAAGCUGAGUGGAUUCUCUUUUCCUUUUGUUUCUAUAUACAAAGAGAUUCCAAUACAAGCCCAUUUCUCUUUUUUCAAUUAAAAAAUAUAUAAAAUGGUUAAGACCAAUCAUUCGUGCACCCGACGUCCUCUGUUUAAAUCUCCCUUCUUCAAAAUCGUUUGUAAAAAAAAUACUCAUAGAUAUAUGAAAACGAUUGCUUUUUCAUGUUUUUUUUUUUUUUUUUUUUUUUUUUUGUGUUCCACUAGUAGCCUGCUUAUUUUGAAUCCAGUUGAUCAGUCCUUUUUUUAUGCUAAUUUAUUAAAUAUUAAAAACAGGUCAAUAUCUAUAGCCCAGUAUAAGCAAAGCCAGUUGGGCAUACAAUAGAAGAUUUUUAAAAAAAAAUAGAAAAAAUUAAAUAUAAUAUAUAUAUAUAUAUAUAUAUAUAAAAACCCAGUUGGGCAAUGGCACUGGAAACUUGAAAAGUGUUCCAAGCCCUUGACAAGUUUGACCUAAUAAAAAAGAACAACCUGGUGAGAAAAACAUAAUGUAGGCCAGUUAGCAAUUGGGCAAUGGUAGCUGUUGAGUUGAAUUAGGGUUAGCCACAAACUGUUUGAUUGGGACUGAACCAAACCAACACCAAGCAGCCUAAUCUAAUCUCACUGGGUGGUCCAACAAAUAGCUGAUCAUUGACUCAUUAUGUCACAUAUUACAUUUACACCCUCCCCCCAACUCCAAUUCCCAACCAGACUCAGAUUUUGGUCACCACAUCUUCAACCAGUUUUCUUUCCCAUCCAUCAUUUUCAAAUCCCAAGAUGACAUUCCACAUUUAUCUUCCCCUAGUCCAUGGGCCAACGCUAAUAACUAUCUUGUUUAAAGUAAGUUACACGUCAAUGAUCAACGACUGUCAAUUAUUCACGAAUAAAAUUCAAAUAAAAUAUAUAAUAGGUUUUUAAUAAUUAGUAUGCUUACUGAGCUAUAUCUUAAUGAAAAACAUGGAAAUAAUAAUUGAAGAGCUAUCUCCUCUUUUUGCUCUUUUUCUCUUUUUUUUUUUUUUAAAUAGAAGAAACAAUAAUAUUGUAAGAUUUUGGGUAUAUCUGUCCUAAAAAGAUCUCAACUUGGGACAUGCCAGACAAGACUUCUGGGCCAAAAAGAAGAAGAAUAUGUCAAUUGGGAAAAAGAAAAAGGGUACCAGACAAACUGUGGUGUAGUCCUAUCCAUCCAAUUAUCACAUGAUCUACACAUAGGUUUUGUUGCAGGAUCUGUAACACUAUUGUGGAAGUACAAUCAGUUCAUGCGCCUGAACUUUUCUGCUUCAUAUUGAUUCAUUUUCAGAAGCUCAUUAUUGAAUUUUUUUUAUUUUUUUUUUUUAAAAACUAAAGAAAGGUGAAUGGUUGAAGAAUAUGACCAAGGGAUCAAAAAUCUCUACACCACAAGGAAAGAGCAAGUGAAAAUUUGUUAUUUUAGAGGAAUUCCAAAUUUUACCAACAUGUAAUGUGAGGGAGUAAAGUUAUAUGCCACUAUCCACAUUAGGCUAAGCAAAUUAGGAAUGCUUACAUGUCCAAAUAGAAAAAUAAAGAAGAAAUCAUGUGUUGUUUUGUUAAUGUUCUAAUGAGCUACUUGAUUUAUUCACUAGCAUGAUUUUGGGAGUGUUAUGAAUGCUAAAACUAAGAAAUGGAAUGUGACUAGGCAUUUCUUCAAUGUACCAAAAAUUAAAAUACAAUAUAUUAGAGUUAUUUUAAAUAAUAAAAAAUCUUAGAUUUUGGUCACUAAACAAUGAUGUAGUAAGUGUUAAUUUUACUUGAUAUUGUACGAAUGAGGUUGAAGGUUAAUGCAUAUUUGAAUAAAUGAAACACUAACAUAUCAAAUUUUUUGCUUUAAGGUUUGAAAGAUAAUUAUGUUAGAACGUCAAAAAACAAACAAAAGAAUUACAAAACAAGUCAUGGGUCGAGAGAGGCCCAAUAAUGCUAAAAAAGAGAAUAUCUCAAAUAGCUGCAUAGAAAAUAUAAACAAUUAAUAAAAGGAACGAUCUAGAACUAGACUUAGCCUCGAACCUAUAUAUCAAACCUAAAAAGAGAAAAGCCCCAAACCGAACACUUGAUUUACAUCACCGACUACAGACCACGGAAACCAUCACGCAGGGAAAUGGAGACUAGAUAUGAUGGAAGUUCAUUGAUCCCCACAUUUCCACACAUGACCUUUGUUUGGCUAGUGAUGCAACAUAGUCGGCGAGACCAUUCAGUUCUUUAAGGACCCAAAUUCACUUGAUAUGAGAAAAAACAGAUAUAGGUAUGAGGAUCUCGGAAGUUGAUAUGGUAAAUCUUCUCAAAGACGCCAUUCAACUAUUGAGGGUCCCAAAAUCCCCCUUGAUCUGAUAGGAAACCGAUCUAGGUAUGAGGAUAUCGAAAGUUGAUAGGGUAAAUCUUCUCAAAGAUGCCAUUCGACUAUCGAGGGGGCCAAAUUCCUCUUUGAUCCGAGAGGAAACAGAUCUAGGUAUGAAGAUCUCGAAAAAGGAUAUGGUAAAUCUUUUCAAGAAUACCAUUCGACUCGUGGAGCUCAAAAUUUCACCGGAUUCGAGAGAAAACAGAUCUGGAUAUCCAAAUCUUGAAAAAGGAUCAGGUAAAUCUUCUCAGAGACACCAUUUAAUUAUCGUAGAGCUCAAAUUUCACCAAAUCCGAGAGAAAACAUAUUUGAGUACGACAAAUUUUUUUUAAAGGUAAAUUUUCUAGUUGCAUUUUCAAAAUUUUCCCAUUAAUAUUUGUAAUAAGAUAUUUUGAAAUGAUUUACAUGAUGGCAUCUUGAAAAUUUGUCCAUGUGCGAGGGAAAGACCAACAAAAGUUGAUGGAUCUUCAACUUGAAUCAAGAGUAUGAAGAUCCAUGAAUGCUUUCUUCAGCCUCGGUCAUAUCAGUUAAGAUUCCAAACUCCGAGAUUUGUUUUAUUUACUCAUAAAAUAAUAAACAAUUUGUGGCUCAUUAAUUAAUUCAUUCAAAAAUUUAUUAUUUGUGCAACUAAUUUUCAUACAUGAUUAUCUCUAAUCAUCAUGUAAAACCAUUUAUUAGCGAGUAAAUGAAUAAAUAAUCAAAUGCAGCCAUUACCAAAUCUCAGCCAAUAAACUAAUUAAACUUAUUAAAUUUAACAAUUAGGUUAAUCUCCAAAGUCCACUUGUGCCCACUACCAAACACUCCCCUAAUGGAAACGGAAAAGAAGUUACUCGAUGCCCAUAACGCACGGCAGCGCAAAAUAGCACCCUCCACCAUUAAAUACUAUUAACGCACUGUUUACUCUCACUGAAAUUAAAAAAAAUUCAACGAUUUUAUUACCUAAAAUAAAUCCUGUCCCAUUUCCGACACCGAUAUCGACGGAAUCGCCAAAUCCUCGCCGUCGUUCGCCGCUAUCUUACAUCCCGACCCGAAUCCGCAUGCCCGGUGACCAGAUUUCGCAGCUCAAGCCCUAAAGGAAGAAACUUUACUGUUUGGUAGCUCCUCCACUUUGGGCUAUAAAAUAUGAGUUUCUCUCAGUGUUUGUGCUUUAUGUACAGUGAGAUUUGCAAUUAGCUCAGCUUGAUUUUGCUCGAGCUCCCAAGCACACGUGGCGAUCUGGGUCUUCUUCACCUUCAUUCAGCUCAAGUUUCAGUGAGUGCCUUUUUUUAAAGAAAAAACUCUAUUUUGUGUGCUAAUCGGUGCUGUGGACUUCAAUUUUGUACUCAAUUUUUAAUCUUGGAGUUCAGUAUGGUGGCUUUGGAUUUCGAUCUCCGUGCAUUUGUUUAAAGCUGUGAAAUUUAGUGGAAUUUUGGGCUUGAUUUGGAAAAUUGAGCUGAUUUUCAUGCAUGUUAGUGGUUUGAAGAAAUAGAAUUUUUAUUUUGGCAGCUGAAGCUGUUUGGCUGCCGAGAAAACUGAUGAAAAUUAAAACUUAAUUUUUUGCAUUUAUGCUGCACGAGUCCUAAUUUUUUUUUAGUAAAGAAGGUCAAAUCUUGAUAAUUAUUGUUGGCUGUUUACGGUAAUUCGGUUAAUUUUAAAUCGGUUCGCAUUAAUUCCUGUUUGAGAUUUUGAACUUCGAAUUUCUUUUUGGUUUGAUAUAUGAUUUGUGCAUUUCAUUUUUUUAAAUAUGAUUCUGCAUUCAUUGCUAUUAAUAAGUCUUAAUUAGUUAAAUUUGUAUUAGCCAGUCGCAGUUCUAAUGAGAAAAAAAUUGAAGCUUGAUACUUAUCAUGAUUCUUACUUUGUCUUUGCAGAAAUGAAAAUGUGGUUACAUAUGAGAAUUGGGCUAUUUCCGAGUUUGUGCACAUUAGGUUGGUCAUAGAUUUUGUUUGAAGAUCUUUGGUUUUAAAGUUAUCUAUAUUCUUACAUGGAAUUUAACAUAGAGGAGGCUCUUAUAGCAAAAGAGAUCGCUGAGAAGCGAUUUGCUGAGAGAGACUAUGCUGGUGCUAAGCAUUAUGCACUAAAGGCUAAAUCACUGUACCCUGGACUGGAGGGCAUAUCUCAAAUGCUGGCCACAUUUGAUGUUUAUGUUGCUUCCGAGGCAAGAUUUUAUGGUGAAAUAGAUCAUUAUUCAAUUCUUGGACUGAAACCUUCUGCAAAUAAAGAUGCAGUGAAGAAGCAAUAUAGAAAGAUGGCUGUGUUACUCCAUCCUGAUAAGAACAAAAGUGUGGGAGCUGAUGGGGCUUUCAAACUUGUUUCCGAAGCAUGGACUUUAUUGUCUGACACUACCAAGAGAAGCUUUUAUGAUCUUCAGAGAAACAAACAAUCGACAACCACAGUUAAUCAGCCUAAUUUAUCUUCAGUUCAUGCUGGUGGGGUUCCGGGUUUCAACAAUUGUUCCAAUUCGUCGGCAUCUCAUGGUAGACUUGACACUUUCUGGACUGUCUGCACUUCUUGCAAGGUUCAGUAUGAGUAUCUCCGGAAAUAUGUGAACAAACGACUUUCAUGUAAAAAUUGCCGAGGCAUUUUCAUUGCUGUGGAAAGUGGGGCAGCCCCAGCAAAUGGUUCUUUUCCUUAUCCUCCUCCUUGGUCAUAUGUGCCUAGUAAUGGGUAUGGGAAUCAUGGAUUUGAUGGGGCUACGUAUGUUCCAAGCAAUGGUACCUUUUUCCCAGGAAACGGUGUCUCAGGUUUUCAUUCUGGACACGGGUAUGAAUAUAUUCCAAAUAUGUCGUUUCAGUGGAGCUCAUAUCCGGGAACCUCUACUGGUGUUGCGGGUCCUCACGGAUCAUCGGGUAUAUCCCCUGAUGCUGUUUAUCAGGCAAAUGGAAAUGUUAAUAAAGCUGGAGUGAAGGUUAAAUCAAGAGCGAAUGGAAAACGUUCCACUACAACUGCUGUGGCUAAUAUGAAUUCGAAUAUGCCUCCUAGAUCUAAUGAGCUGCCUGAAUUUAAGAACGAUGGACUGGAUAAGAAAAGGAAAGUUACUGUGGGAGCAAAUUUUAGAAAUGGGCAUGACGAAAGAGUAUCAAAAUCUGCUUCAGAAGCAAAAUUAGCAAAUGGAAAUGGGACUCUAGGAAAUGAUCAGAAAAUUCCUAGUUCAGGAGAACUUCUUGCUAGACGUUGUUCAGUGGCACCAGCAUUUGAUGCUAAAAAGCUGUUGAUUGAGAAGGCAAGAACAGAGAUUUUGAAGAAAUUAAAUGAGAUCAAUUUGGCUUCAGAAGCGGCUGCUGCUAUAAAGAACACAAAAAGACAGGUUGAAGUGCGUCAAUCCGAAGUAACUCAAGGACAUCAAUUACGGACAAAGGAUGCUGAGCCUCUCUCCAUAACUGUCCCUGAUCCCGACUUCCAUGACUUUGACAAAGAUAGGUCGGAGGAAUGUUUCAAGCCAAAGCAAAUAUGGGCUUUAUAUGACGAAGAAGAUGGUAUGCCUCGCUUGUACUGUCUGAUACGUGAAGUGGUCUCAGUCAAACCGUUCAAGAUACUCAUCACUUACUUGAACUCUAAAACUGACAGUGAAUUUGGGUCAGUGAACUGGCUGGAUUGUGGGUUUACCAAAUCCUGUGGAAAUUUCAGGGCAAGGAAUCUUGAUGUAGUUGAGCAAGUUAAUAUUUUCUCUCAUGUUUUGAGCCGGGAGAAAGCAGGUAGAGGAGGAUGUGUUCGGAUAUACCCGAAACGUGGAGACAUUUGGGCUAUGUAUCGCAACUGGUCGAGAGAUUGGGACAGAUCAACUCCAGAUGAAGUGAGGCACCAGUAUGUAAUGGUGGAGGUUCUUGAUGAUUACUCCGAAGAGCUUGGUGUUUGCGUGUUGCCCCUUGUCAAACUGGAUGGAUUCAAGACAGUAUAUCAAAGUAAUACAGACAGCAGUGCUGUUCAAUUGAUUCCGAGAAGAGAGAUGCUACGCUUUUCGCACCAGGUGCCGUCAUGGUUACUCAAGGGUGAAGAAAGUAACCUGCCUGGUAAGUGUUGGGAUCUGGAUCCUGCUGCAACUCCUGACGAGCUGCUUCAUGCUUCUGUGGAAGCCAGGGCUUAAGCAUAACAUACUAAAAAGCAGAGAAGGAUAGGCAUGGGAAGCAAGAUUUGCUUGGGAGUUCAUUUUAGCAUUGUUUAGGCAAUUGUAGGUUUUAACUGUACAAAUAUGUCACACCUGGCUAGAGGCCAACGUAACGUAAACCCCGUAUGAUUCUAGGGGGAGCUUAUGUUUACCCAGUAAAACUUGUGACGAAAAUUUCAAUUCCAGUGACUGCUUGUUUACAUGAUUACCUCAGACUCUGACUUGUCCAAAAUAGUUGUAACACCUAUUCAGGACAGAUUGGGAAAUCAACAGUUAUUGCAUUGGUGCAAAUUUUUUCCUUUAGCCUGAAUUCUUGCCAACAUAUUGCAUCGCACAAUACGUACGCAUAUUGUCUCUGUUUAUAUUCUGUGUUAUAUUUUGCUUGUCUCUGUUUGGGCAUGAACACGGUUUCAAAUAUGGAAAAGAUUGUGUUUUUUAGGUACAAGUGAUUGGAGGGGGGAGUUUGCACAAAUAUUCAUUGAGUAGAUGGGAAUUUCAAACCUAAGUCCACAUGAAUGGAGGUGGAAUGGCUCAACCAACUCCACAAGACCAAGCCCCAAGCCCCAAAUAAAAAAAUUAAAAAGAAGAAGACAUAAUUUGUUUAAACGGUGUCGUUUCAGUCCAUAAACUCUAACAAGUCAAUCCUUUUCCACAACCACUGCCGAUCCCUAGAACACCUGAAAGUGAGAGACACUGAAGGAGAAGCAGGCAAGAUAAAGAAACGAAAAUGGAUCCUCUACUGUGGCAUAAAAUAGCUGGGCUCUCUGGUAUUACCUUUUUCCUCUCUCAUACUUAAAUAUUUAUUGUCUUUCUGUUUCUGACAAACCCCAAAUAUGAUUUUGAUUGAAAAACAGGAAUGGCAGCUCUGGGGUUGGGCACAUAUGGUGCCCAUGGCUUCAAACCCGAAAACCCAACUUACAAAGAUGUACAUCAUAUAUUUUACUAUAUGCCCAUUUGAUUUUAGCUCAUAUUGUCCAUGGUUGUAUCCUCAUUCUUGAGUUUCUGACAUUUAAUUACGUUGCAAAUAAUGGGUAGGUUUGGCAAACGGCGUCUCUCUACCAUUUGGUUCACACAGCCGCUCUGGUUGCUGCCCCUAUCACGAAGCACCCCAACAUUGUGAGUUCAAAGUUCAAACCUUUUAUCAUUUUACUAUGAAUUGAAUUCAUACCAUAAUCUAAAGGGUCCGACCCUUCACAUUUUUGGAGUUGCAAAACUGAACAUUAUUUGGUUUUGAAAGGGGAUAUGUGAUGUUUGUUCAACUUCGUAUGUUGUGAUGUUGGUUAAUUAGGUACUGGUCUGCAAAUUCAUAUAUGAGCAUAUAUGAUAAUUUCGUCUUUGUUUUCCAGUUUGGAGGCCUUUUGACUACUGGAAUACUUGCAUUCUCAGGGACGUAAGUGCCAUUCCAUUCUUCUGCGCUUCAUUUUUCAUCUAAUUAAACAGCUUCAAUUCGAUUAUAAAACACUACGUUUUUGCAUAAUAGAUUCAUUCAAAAUUUCAGUUUCUUGCACAAUGAAGUUCCUUGAAUCUCAAUUUUAGAGGUUUUCCAUAUUGGUUAAAAGCACUCACCUUGUUACUUGUUAGGAUGCAAAGGAAGUCACAAGACUUGCCUAUGGUUUAAUUCAUUGGUCUUUUUCUAGAAAAGUAUUACUACCAAUGUAGUAAGAUCUACUUAUUUACUUUCCAGAGAGCUACGUUUGUAUGAUUAUGCUAGAGUUAGGAAUCAUCCUAGUCUGUUAGUAUGGUAAAAUCCUCUACACUGAGUAAUGAGGAUUCUAGACUGAUAAAUGUUGUAAUUUGUUAACUGGAAGAGUAACAUUAUAUAAAUGAAUUUUACAUUUCUGGUCUGCCAAUAUUUUGCUUCUGGACUCCAUAAAUUGAUCUCCUGGUACUUAUGGCUUAGCAAACUGCACAAUGAAGUGUAAUGCCUUGAGUACAGAGUCCAUGCGUCAUUCCAACGGACUUUUUCCAGUUGUUUGCUUUGUUGAAACAAUAUUCAUGGAAGUGUCCGUACUGUAUUCAUAUUAUCAGAAGUGAACGCUGAUUGAAAUACUUUUUUGCAGGUGUUAUACUGUGGCAUUACUUGAGGAUAGAAAGUAUUCUACGUUGGCUCCUUUCGGUGGCUUUGCUUUUAUCGCUGCUUGGGCUAGCUUGCUCUUCUAAGAUUUCCAACUUCUCAGGAUCCCUGCCCAAUUUGUGUUGUUGAGUUCACUAUUUAUGAUCAUAUACCCUUUCAACUGGGCAGGUAUAUCCCAAUGUGGAGUCUCCUUGAAUUUCAAAGUUGUCUUCCCCUUUGCCAUGCCAAUUAUAUAUGGUGUAUAUCAAUCUACUGAUUAUGCUACUUUAAUGUUAUUUGGUGCUGUUUGCAUGGGAGCUUCUACAAUGAGGAGUUUAGAGUGAGGAGCUCAUUUGAGGGGUUCAAUCCCACCAUCAAAUCACUUAAAAUGUUUAAGUCCAUUGGUUUCCUCACAUUUGUUGAUGCUUGAAUUGAACUCCUCAGAUAAACUCCUCACUCUAAACUCCUCAUUAUAGCAUUUCUGCUGUUUGCAGAUACUUGUAGAAUUCUUUCCCAUAUAAAUGAGAUUACAGGUUUGCAGAUAUAAUGUUUAUCCUUGUAGCAUGUUUAUUUUAUCUGACACUGACAAAGCCCAUUUCUGAUAAAGUGAAUAAUGAAUGCUGAAGAUUAUUGGCCCUUGGAUUGGCAUGUAUGUAAGGUUUUGAGGCCACGAAACACCCACUUGCAAACGUUCUUUUCAUUCUGCUGUGUGGUUUUUAGCUAGUUGCUUGGUUUUCCAACUGGACCAACUCCAUCUGGUAUCUCUGUCGGUGCAAAAGAAUGAUUUGUCCCGUAGCUUGGCAAGUUUUUAUAAAUAGAAGUGAAUUUGUUGAUUAAAAGGUUAAAAUAUAUUUUUCUUUUUGGUUUUUGCCAAUUAAAAUACAUACUGGUGAACUUGUAAGGUUCAAACGUAUGUCCACUGGGCACUGGCGCAGUGACAAGCUUGGGAAGAACAACAAAGUACAUACGAGAAACAGAGCAGAAUCCACAGUACAGUGGAGAUGAAGUGCCGUGACUGCUUUCAUGUUCAGUAAAAAUUCUCUAUUUUAUCAGUCUGGUUCUGAUCCCUAAUUGCAAUGCCUCUGUUUCCCCCUAAGCAGGCAAAAUCAUGUGACCAAACCAAACAAUCAGUGCCAGCCUAAAAACCUAUUUUGGCUUUAGCUGCAUCAUAAUCAUACUGGACCUCCUUUGAAAAUUAAAUGUGCCAGGUUGAAAAAUAGUCUAAUUUGCAGAAAAAGGAAUUCGAAUUUGAGUGUAAGAAAGCGGAUUCAUUGUUCUGACGAACAGACCUAGUCCUAAGUAUGCUACUUGACGUAAAGUUGAUCUGCAACGACAUUUUUUUUUUUUUUUAAUUUUUAAUUUUUAAUUUUUUUUUUUCUUUCCGGUUACUAACAACCUCACAUCUUUGACAACCUUGAAAGUUUAUGUUUCACUUGGGAUUUUGAGGAAUUUUUGGAUUUUAGGGAAAGCCCUUUGGCUUAACGCUUACGAAGCUGAGCUGUAUAAUACCACCUUUAGGGAAAAUAUCAACAUCUUUUGGUGCCCUAUCGUAACAGUCAAGGGUCACAAGGGUCCUACAGAUCUUAAACAAUAUCAGAAUGAGGCCCCGGUUAUGUCUUCAAGCCAGAAGGAAAGCAAAAAAAAGGUCAGGUCCACCCUUGUCAUUGCAUUGCAUUCAUCAAGCACCAACAUCCAGGCCCCUCCUAUCACAACCCCUCGCUUUUAGGACAUGAAAUUUAUAAAUUAUAAUCUCUCGUUAAGAAAAAACUUUUAAUAAUCAUAUUGGCCUCCAAUGAGCUCCUUUGCUUUCUAACAACUGCAUCGAUAAGAUGUUUCUUUUGCUGAAAAAGUUGCACAAAUUGAAGGAAAACAAAAUGAUCAAGAACCACCAAAGCAUAAAAUACCAUGAUAUAAUUAUGCAGCUUUUGAUUCCCCUAUUUGUGGGUAGAAUGAAUUAUGAGUAGUCAACGAGGUCUAACCCAAUAGAAAAAGGCUUUGAUUUGCAUACCAGUGGUCUUAAGUUUGAACCCCCAUAACACUUUGAUAGUGCAUGUGUGAGAAAUCUCCAUCCCCUUGUAGUUUAGACUAUUCGUUUGUAUUCCAAAAAUAAUAAUUAUGAAUAGAAGGGUGGUGGACCGAUAUGGCCCAACCUUAUGUACAAUGAUCUUCAAAUAUAAUCAUGGGAACAAAAUGAACAAUUUUUCUAAUCAUACAAAUAACAAAAGAGAUGUAUAAAUAAAGCUCAUCAUCCAUAUAGUGCAAGGGCUUUAAUAUGUACUAAGGUAAACAGAAACUUUGUAUAAAUUAUUGGAAUUUGUUUCUCAGUGUUGCAGAGAUCUCUACACCUUUUCUUCUUUACUCUGCACACUGCAUAUUUUUACCGCUACUUACCCUCUUCUUCAACUAAAGCAAACUAUAUCUCAGUCACUUCUAAAAACCCACAAGCCCUCUAGGGCCUCUUACUUGCUGCAUCCUCUGUGAUUACAUUCUUUUUUUAAAAAAAGUAAAUUUAAAGGGCUUAAAAACCUGUCACAUAUUAGCUUUUGUGUCUUUUCUUCUUUGCAAUCUCCUCCACCCAGUGUAACAUGGGGAAGAACAGUAUCUCUUCUACUGUUUCUCUCUUCUUCAGUUGGUAUGAACUCUACUUAGCUGACAGACCAAUGAAGUUGAGGUAAAAUAAAAUGAAAAUAGAAGAAUAUGAAGGUCCUGUUGUAUCGAAACCACGAAUUAGUCUUAUUCUAGGAAUCCGGUGCUCUACCUCUCUAUAAUUACGGUUUGUUUGAAUCCCUACAUAACUGUUGAUAUGCCACUCACUAUAGGAGACGCAAAUGGGCUCUCUGGAAGGUUAAUUCCUUGGCUGCUGCAUGGUAUAAGAAACCAAGCAUCAAAGAAAUGGGAAGGUUAAGAAAAUAACCCAGAUGAAAAAAAUUGGUAAAAGUACUAUGACUUCAAUCUGAACAAGCAUUUGUGGUAUACCUAUCCUGGUCAUUGUAAUUACUGUUUCUGUGCCUGAUUUUGCCCUCACUGGUGGAACCAUUAUUCAAAACAUCCAGCAAAUAAGUAAAUUCCUUUGCAGAUGGGACUUCUGCUUGCUCUGCAUGGGCUACAGUGACAUCAGGGAAAAACAUUAGCUAGGAAAUCGUUGAAAGGAAACAAGAAAAAAGCUACGCAAAAGAAACCGAAAAGUUGCAUUGUAUACCUUCUGGAUGUUUGAACUCAUCCAUAGGGUAGCCAUAAUAGAAAUGAUGGGACAAGGGCUUAGCUGCUAAGUGCAUCUCCGAAAGACGCCUUCUUUCAAGUUCGAGUGCUUGCUCAUUUUCCUCCAUGAACUGCUUCCUUAAAAAUCUUGCAUUCUCACAAACUCUGGGCACUGUAAAUCAGAGAAAUAAAUGUGAAUUAGGUAAAGGUGAUUUUACGACCCAAAAAGGCUAAAAUAGAUCAUUACUGCAUUUAUCUGAAAUUUGCUUACUAGAGUGAAACUCUGAAUCCGCAUCAAUGAAAUGUGAAUUGUAGCACAUAGCAUGCUGCAUUUUCUCUGAAAACUUCCUGGAUGGAUAGCUUAAACUUCAGAAAUUUAAAUACUAGUUGAAAAUCAUAGAGGAGAUGGAAUGGAAAACAUAAUGUUCUUCUCAGAUAAUAAAUAAGAGAAUUUUCAGUUUUAUUGAUAUCAAAGGUUCUUCUCAGAUGUUUUCAGAAACAUUUCCAAAAGAUUCAUAAGCAGGAAACUAGGAAAGGGAUAUCCACCCUACUCUCUACAAAUACGACUUUCUUCAUACCAUAAUGUCAUAACAUGCAGUCAUGUCAGUUCUAGAAGGAGAUUAAGGGAAAACACAAGGAAAAACAAUCCUCUAAAGCAGACUAAUAUUAAAUGGAAGCAAGAAUCAACGUUCAACAACCGACAAUAAGUAUUCUAGGAUGUUGACAAAGGUAUGAACAUCAUACUAAUUAAUUCUAGUGGACAGCAUUACUCCAUUUAGAGAACAAAUUUUAUGUUAUAUGUGCUUUUAGUUAAUAUUAUAAGGUAAAGGCCUUUCCUCAUUUGAACUGCCAACGACAAUAAGGGUGCUAUGAUGGUAGGAAAAAAAAAUAGUGGGAAAUAUCAGACAAUAACUAUUUGCUUAUGAACCAGAUAGUAUUAAAAAGAAAAGGGUCGAGAAAGAAAAAUACUGCUCAAAUCUAAGCACAAUAAAGAUGAUAAGGUUACUUCAACUUUGAACAAAUAGAAAAGUUUUACCUGUCAACAAGCCUAGACUUUUCCCUGUAAGGCUUCACCAGAACACGGGCCCCACAUACAAAAUGGGGAUUCCCUUUUGACAAAAUAUGCCUGACCGUCUCUGCAUAAACAAAGGUGACAAACCCAAACAUCCUCUUCUGUUGACAUGGGAUGCGUACAUCUUGAACCGGCCCAUAUUUGCUACAAAAUAAUGAUCAAAAAAUCAAAAUUGUGUAGACCAAGAGUCAAAGUAUAAGCAAAGUGUAAGCAAAUUCAAAUAAGAGAUAAAUGACUCCAAUAACAGUUCCUUAUGAAAAGAAAAAAGAAAUGCCUUAAACAUCCUUACUUGAAGUAGUUGGAAACAUCUUGCUCCGUGAAAUUACUCUCAGCUGGAAAAGUAAGAUAAAUCUGUCGAGAACCAGCAAUAAUUCCACCAGGUUCAGUUUUCUCACCAGCAUACUCUAAGUAUUUUGGGAUAUCUUCUGCCAAUAUGACUGAGUGCUGUCCAUGAGGCCUGUAUAACAACUCAAGUCAAGCGCUUCUAGCAAGCAACAUAUGAUGCAUAAAAACCUUUAGCAAUUAACAAAGAGUUACCUGUCAAGGAGUCGAAUACUGUUCUUCAAUCGAGCAAGAAGCUUUGUAAGGCUAUAGCCAGCCUUACCAUGUCUCUGGCUCUCUGUAAGGUAUCCCUCAGCCUGUAAAGUCCUCCCAUAUUUCUCAUAAUACAUCAUUGGCAAUGAGGCAAUUGAUAUUGGGAACCCUCUUCUUGAUUUCAAAAGCUCAAUUAUUUCAAUCUCCAGCUUUUCAAGGGAGCCAGGAGAGACAACAUGAUCAUCAUUUGAAAGCUCAUUCAAAUUCGGGUGAGAAAAGCUCUCUGCCAUGGGAUGGCCAUGGAAGUACCUGCAGUUGCUCCCAUGCUUACAGAACCCCUUAUUGAAGUAAUGGCAAACCUUAAGAGGAAACUCAGGCAAACUUGGAGACCUUCGACUAGUUCUCACACUCAAUGCAGGUUCAUGAUAGCAGUAAUUGCUUGAAAAGUCGGGCAAAAACUGCAUCUGAUUUUGGAGGCGAUAAUCUUCAAUAGCUGAAUCAGAGUACCCUGGUGGAACAAAUUCUACAUUUUGCAGUGGUUGCUGAUCACCAGGCAGUUGGGGAUCCCUAAAUGGAUUCACUGCUCCGAGAGGUGUGGGAGAUGAAAUUGGUCGAGUUAAAUUAGGAGUGUAUGGAGUGAAUUGUAAAGGCGGGUCUGAAACAGGAACUUGGUUCACCUGAGAAGGUGAGAUUGGAGCAGACACUGCCAGUUUGCAUAACCCAAGCUCAGUUUUUGCUUUGUUAAUCAAAGACUGGAUCAAAUUAUCAGGGCUGAACGCCAGUCGAAUCAUGUCACGCUCACCAUGGUCUUGCAACAGAAGAUACCCUAUAAUCUUAGACACAUUUUCAGGCUCUAUUUUCUGGAUCCUAUUGUACACUACUUUUGUGGACUCAGAAAAAUCCAUCUCAGAUUGCAGCCCUGCAGAAGACAAGUACAUUCAAAGGUACACAUUAUUAUAAAAGGUAGGAAUAGCAAUGCAAAUUAACACUUAUAGAAAGUUAGUUGUUAAUCCAACUAUGUUCCAGAAAACAUUAAUAUGGUGGAAGAUAUUAAUUUCUUUCUCAACAACCAGAAAAUUAUGUGGAUCUAGUGAUAAACAAACCCAUGAGUAAAUUCAUAUAAUCUUCAAGCAGCAAUGCUAUUUCUGGUAUAUAAACAAAGCCUAUUUAAAAGACUACCAAAUAAAUGAAAACAAAAUUGGGGGGAGAACACCAAAAAGGAAACCUUGUUGGUUCAUGCAUAAUCAAUUUCUGUAUCUGCUCCUCCUACUGAAACAAGUUGCAGGCAAAAUUUAAAGUUGAAAUUUUCAAACAAAAGUGGCAGAUGGAUAUAACCAAACAAAAGCAGCAAAAUCAUUACCACAAAAACAGAAGCAUCAACGCCAUAAGGAAAAGGGAUUCAGCAGAAAAAGAGACAUUUAUUUCUCUAAUUAGCAGCAUCAUAUUAACCUACUUUAAUAAAAAUUUUAAAUUUUAAAUAAAUAAAUAAAAGCAAAAGGAGGAGAAGGCGUUAACUUUUGGGGGAAAAACAAAAAACAUAAAACAGUGCUUCUGAAUUAUUUUCCGAUUUGAAGGACAAGUGAAACAUGGAAGGCAUCUUCUUCCAUAGGAAACAGUAAGAAGAACAUACUGUCAAUACACAGUCACAUAAAAUAUGUUCAAAUGCUUGCCAGCCAGAAGGGAACCAAAACAUUUUAAUUUUGUCCUUAUAAGAAAAAAGAAAAAAGCCUUUUCAUUUCUUAAAUACAAGAAACGAUUACAGAACUCAAGGGAAAACCAACAUCUUUUGAAAAACACAACCAUUUACCCACAACAUUUUCCUGAACAAACACUAGUCCAGGAUCAAGAAAUUAGGAAUAAAAUGAAGAAAAGAGCAAAAAGAACAGAGAGAGAGAGAGAGACAGAGAGAAAGAGAGAGAACUAGUUCUCAGAAGUUGAAGCAAGAGAGACAAAAACACAGGAUUUAAGUUGCUAGCUAUUUUUUUUAUUUCUUUUAUCACAGAUAUGGAACAUCUCUAGAAAUACCCAAGUCAAAAGACCAAAACUUUGGCCAUAAUUGAGCAUCAAAAUGAAGCAAAAACAACAUGAAAUGGCAGCAUGGAACCAUUAAUGAGAAAAGAUCUGACAUACCCACCAAAUCUUUUAAGAGCCUCAAUAUGAAACAAAGUCAAAGGAACCAAUCCAAGGCCCAAAGCUACUCCACAACCAUGAUUGAUUGCUCACUCUCGUCCUCCCUCUGCCUCUCUCUCCUCCCUCUUUCUGUGUUCUUCGCUAUUUUUAUCUUCUUCUCCUAUUAUAUUCCAAUUCUCUGAACCAGAAAGGACACAUUCUUAACGAAAAGCAAAAUGACAGAAAGGAUAGAGCUUUAGGGGGAGGGCGCCUUGUCUUUAGUUCAAAUCAACACACACUUACAAAUAUAUACAAACCACCCUCUCAUCUUCCUCUCCUAAAAAAUCACAUGAAAAAUUACAAAUUCUUUUUUUUCCUUUUCAAUUGAAACUGAAUUGUUAUUAUUUUUAAAUUAAAAUAAUUAAUAACAUUAAAAAGCACACCACUCUGUCUCUCUCUACACUCUCUCUCACUGCUUGUUGUCACUCUUAUCCUAAUGUGUCCCGGUUUCUCUGUUUUGCUGACUUGUAUAAAUUAAAUAUUAUUAUAUUCAUUUCAAAAAUUACAGGGUGUAGUCUUACUUGUCGUUACAGAAAUUUGCGGGAAUUUAUGGAAAAUUAGCCUGGAUUUUCGAAACAGCCUCCAACUAAAAUUCCCAAUUUCUCCUCCACCUAUUUUGAAAUGGUCCUUCCCUUCCAGUUAUCUUCUUUUUUUGUUUUCUUAACAAAUUUAUUUAUUUUUUAUAAUAAAAAUAUAUGAGAAUACAUAUAUUUCGGAAAUACCUAUGUGUCCUGUGUGGGUUCAGCCUGUCUUGUUGUCUUGUCUAUACAGUAGGUGGCUGACGUGCAGUGGUCGAUGGGCCCACACGGGCAGGUUGAGCGGUUUGGAUUUCAUCUUCACGUUGGGGUUUGGGGUGCGAAAAUAUAAUCUGCCAUCUGCAUGCUCGACACGUGGCAGGUUGCAGCGAGGUACAGUUUGUUUUCCUUUUUUUUUUUGUGGAUAAAAAUAACUGUGGUGCACUUUAGGUUAUUAAAGUUAACGUGGGACCUACGUCGUCAUCAUCCGUACCCACCAAUCCUAGUUGGCGGUCUGUGGGUCCCCGAUUUAAAGGGCUCAGUUCACUACUCCGUGAUUGGUGGUUGCAUUUUUCCCUUUUCUUUUUCUUUAAAAAAUACAAAUAAUAAUGAAUUCGUAGUUGUACUUUGUAUUAGUAGAUGAUUAGCUUCGUAUUUUAAUGAGCACAAAACACAAUUUGUAUUUUUUUAUUUCACGUUGGUUUUUAAAAAAAAUAAAAGAAAAAACAUGUGCACCACUUAGGAGGUGUAAUAUACUAGAAUAUAUUGAUGAAAAUUAGGAAAAAAUAAAAAAAUAAGUUCGGUAAUAAAAUAAAGGGUAGGGGUAAUUUAGGGACAAAAUAUUUUGUUGAUCGCUUCGUAGUGACCUAUUCAAAAGGAAAAUACACGUGAACAAAUUUAACAAAUGUGAUACUGUGAAUCUAAUCUAGAUUCACAAAUUGAGAAAUGCUUGGGAGGUUAUUUUUCUCCGGUAGAAGAGGAGCUUUCUGUCGAUUAAGUCACCUAAUUGAGUUUUUAGUAAUCUGGUUAUUCUAUUUCAAAAUACUAUUUAUAUUUUAGAACAUUCCACUAUAUGAUGUCAUAAUUACUGACGAUAUGUGAAUCGAGAGAGCAGAAACACAGUCAGUUGAUCAAAACAAUGUGUCAAAUUCACUUCUCUAUAACUUAGAGUAGUUUAAAAUAUUAUAGCCGCUUGACUAUAAUAAUAAUAAAGAUUAAGAAUAAGAUUUUAAUUUAUGGAAGGGAAGAUGAUGAGUACAUUUGUGACCAAGUACUAUGAUUGAGGAAUGUGAUAUAGACACCCUUGUCAUUAUCAACCAACAUAAAUAAAUGAAACGAAGCUGACGUCCCUCUGGCUUUAUUCGGCACUUGUUCUAAUCCAAAUCCAAUAAAUCCCAAUUAAAUAAUUUUUAGAUCAUGGGCAUCUUGAUUAUUUAAAGUCUACAACGUACUUAUUAGCCUUAAUGUUACAAUUACAUAAAUAAUUAUACCAACACGACAACACCAUAAUCCACCUACUUAUAAUACUUUUUGGUUUUAUGUGAGGCACGUAUUUUAUCACCCAAGUUAUAAAUUCAAACAUAUUUGAAUCGUAAAAUAAGUCUACGAUUGCCAACGGGGUUUAGGCUAGUGAAAAAAGACUUUGACAUGCAAAUUAGUGGUUUCAUGUUUAAACCCUGAUAGUACGUUGAUAGUGUGUAUGUGAAAACCUCUCUCUCCUUAUAGUUUAGACUAUCGCUUUUAUUAAAAAGAAAAACAAGUCUAUGAUUUAUUUAUUAUUUUCACCUGGUAUUCUAUAAAAGUUAGGGAGAAAUUUUGUACAAAAAUUAAAAAGCAAAAAGAGAAAGGGAAAGACGCAAAAAUUAUAGUUUCUUCACAUGCGUUCAACUAAUCAUCUCUAGCUUCUUCUUUUUUCCAGGCAACAUGUGGUUCACAAAUACAACACAGGGGGGGCAAAAAGGGUGUUGAAAGUUAUGCAGGGAAAAAGGAAAAAUUUGGCCCACUUUUUCAUCAGAUCACAAACAAAAACAACUAUCAUCUAUCUGUAUCUUCCACUCAACUUGAUCAACCCUAGCUAGAACUUUACUGUGUUCCAUAUAUGUGGCGGCUGAGCUUGAUGGUUUUGGCUUGUUAGCCAUGGCAUGGCCCCAUUGGUAACAUCAAGCAAUUGAGUGGCAGCCCUGGAGAUUUAGAGGGCAACCUUAUCAGGAUGCUGCAAGGUUUGAACACACAUAAAAAUCCAUUUUUACAAUUGAUGUUACCAUCUGAUCUGGAUAUGGUUUUGCCAUCUUAUCUGGAUAUGAUUUUGUUGUAGCAUAUUUGGUUUGUGGUAGUGUAAGGUGUGACAACUUUGAACAAGAUAGAAAACGAAACAUGUUCGUGAUUUGUAAAACAGAACACUCUUGUUGUUUGUGAAAAAAGAGAAAAUGAAAAAAUCAACCCGAAUUAUCAUGUUCGGAUAUGGUACGUGUGAUUUUGUUGUAAAAUGUUUAGUUGUCGAGAAAACACAACGAGAACACGAGUUGAAAUAUAACGAGUUUUAAGUUGUGAAUAAGAAGAAGGUACAUCAAUAACUUUUAACCAACUCUAUGCAUGGCUCUAACAAAUUGUUGACCUAGUGUCGGGCUUCUUGGUCAAAUGCAAGCAAUCACAUGAGUCUACUAAUAGGGCAAGGCCCACACCAUGUGCAUGUGAUGCUGGGUCAAUAAAACCCAAUCAUAUCCCAUGCAGGGCUUCAAUCAUUUUCUAAACUCUUUUUAGGACAAUUUCAUGCACUUUAUUUUAUUUUAUUUCUGUUUUUUAACCUUAAGAAAAAUUGUAAUAAGAAAAAUUGUACAUGCUAAACUUAUGUUUCAAUAGAAGAAGAAAAAAACAGAUGGAGAGAGGAAAAUUGAACUCGGAGCGUGAUGUAAGAUACAUCUUUAAAUUCUCGCAUCACAAAUGAAAUUUAGGGUCUGUUUAAGAGUGCUUCUGGAAUGGCUAAAAACGCUUUCUGAUAAUUAAAAGCGCUUUUAACAACGUUUGGCAAAAAAAUUUAGAAGCGCUUAUGGGUCAUAGAAAUACUUUUCCACGAAGCACUUUAAUUUUUUAAGAAAAUUCAAGAUUUUUAUAAUAAAAACGCUUUUAUUAGAAGCACUGAGCAGAAGCACUUUUUAAAAAAACAAUCUCAAACAAACCCUUAAUAUCGUUCAUAAGAUAUGAAAUUGCGACUUUCUCCAACAAACUGAAGACUUAAUUUUUUUUGCCCCUUACUACAUGUGUGAAAAUAGAGUAGAAGAUUGGGCCUUCAAAGAUAUGUAUCGCAUGAAAGCCCAAUAACUGAGAUUGCAAAAGAUCAACUGAUCAAGUGACAAAUUGUAAAUUCAUUUUUACCCUAGAUAAAAACAAACUUCGACCGUAAAAACGAAGAGAAAAACGAAACUGUUUUAAGUUCCAGAAGUUUCCUAAAAAAGGUAGCUUAUUGAAGGAUCUCUGCAUUUUCCUGCUUUUUUUAUUUUAAAAUCUCAACCAUUCAAGUAAUCCAACAGCUUAAAGUAGUCCACAUCAGCAAAGAAUCAGAACUUCGCUCCUCGACUGCCAUGAAACGACAUCGUUUAUAGGUUUCUGGCUUAUUCCGGAUCCGGAAUACCGUUUUGGCUGUAAUCAUUCUUCUGCAACUGCCGUGGAACCCGACCCGAUUAUCAGAGAAAAGGAGGAAGACGAUUUUCAGAAAGAGAGAAAGGAAAUGGCUUUCUGGGGUUUUGACGCCAAGUAGUUGGCUUUGGCCGUCGAUCUCAGCCCUUGAAAAUUGAAAUCAGAGCCGCCCGAUCUGCGAGGUUAUCAAUUACUGGUAAAGAAGAGAGUUCGCAAUGUACCAGUGGAGGAAAUUCGAGUUCUUUGAGAAGAAAUUGGCGGGAAAGUGCUCGAUCCCCGAGGAAGUCAGCGGAAGGAUCGAGUGUUGCUCGAGCGGCAGAGGGAAGGUGGUGAUCGGUUGCGACGACGGCACCGUGAGCUUCCUCGACCGCGGCCUCAACUUCAGUUAUGGCUUUCAAGCUCACUCCUCCUCCGUACUCUUCCUUCAGCAGCUCAAGGUGAGCCUCCAUUUACAACAUUUUAUCUUGAUUUAGUGAUUUUGUAUUUGGUUCUCCGGAAAGUUUGGAAAACAGAAAAAGAAGGAUUUGGGAAAUUUUGGGACUUUGGAACUUUGAUUUCUGGAUGUUAGGUUUAGUUUCAUUUUUUCAGUAAUUGUUUAGGAGAUGACACGUUUGUUGAUUUUCUCCUGUUAUUAUUAAAUCAGCAACGCAACUAUUUGGUGACAAUCGGAGAAGAUGAACAAAUUACUCCGCAGCAAUCGGCAAUGUGCCUUAAGGUUUUCGACCUGGAUAGAAUGCAGUCGGAGGGCACGAGCUCGAGCUCAACGAGCCCUGAUUGCAUUGGGAUCUUGAGGAUAUUCACCAACCAAUUUCCUGAAGCAAAGGUAGUGCAUGUGCCCAAUUAUUGGAAUUUGUGAAACAUUGAAUUCGAUUGAAACAAUAGGGUUUUGAGUCUAGUUUUGGCUUAUUACUGCAGAUUACGUCGUUUCUAGUACUAGAGGAAGCACCUCCAAUACUGCUUAUAGCUAUUGGCUUAGAUAAUGGUUGCAUUUACUGCAUUAAAGGGGAUAUUGCGCGAGAACGUAUCACCAGGUUCAAGCUUGAGGUUGAUAACCUCUCUGACAAGAGCCAGUCCUCGGUGACGGGACUGGGGUUCAGAGUGGAUGGUCAGGCCCUUCAGUUGUUUGCCGUGACUCCAUCUUCUGUGAGCUUGUUCAUCUUGCAGAAUAAAACUUCAAGGGGGCAAACCCUAGAUCAGAUUGGAAGUAAUGCCAACAGUGUUGCCAUGAGUGAUCGCUCGGUAUGCAAUCCAGCCUCAUCUUCGUUGGUGUAUUUUCAUGCAUAUCUUAGCAUUUUAUUUAUGUAUAUAUUUUGAUCAGGAGUUGAUAAUUGGUCGACCUGAGGCUGUGUAUUUUUAUGAAGUUGAUGGGCGAGGCCCUUGUUGGGCUUUUGAAGGACAAAAGAAAUUUUUGGGGUGGUUUCGUGGAUACCUUCUGUGUGUUAUUGCAGAUCAAAGAAAUGGCAACGAUACUUUCAACAUUUAUGACCUGAAGAACCGUCUAAUUGCCCACAGCCUAGUGGUUAAAGAGGUUUCUCACAUGCUUUGUGAAUGGGGUAACAUAAUACUUAUAAUGGCUGACAAGUCAGCUUUGUGCAUCGGGGAGAAGGAUAUGGAGAGCAAGUUAGAUAUGCUCUUUAAGAAGAAUCUUUAUACUGUUGCCAUCAACCUUGUUCAGAGUCAGCAAGCGGAUGCUGCCGCAACUGCAGAAGUGCUAAGAAAGUAUGGGGAUCAUCUGUAUAGCAAGCAAGAUUAUGAUGAGGCAAUGGCUCAGUACAUCCAUACCAUUGGUCACCUUGAGCCUUCUUAUGUGAUACAGAAGUUUCUAGAUGCACAAAGAAUCUACAACCUUACAAAUUACUUGGAAAAAUUGCAUGAGAAGGGGCUUGCUUCUAAAGAUCAUACCACUCUUCUACUGAAUUGCUACACCAAAUUGAAAGAUGUUGACAAGCUGAAUGUGUUUAUUAAAAGCGAGGAUGGUGUUGGAGAACAUAAGUUUGAUGUGGAGACUGCAAUAAGAGUCUGCCGUGCGACCAACUACCAUGAGCAUGCAAUGUAUGUUGCUAAAAAGGCAGGGAAGCACGAAUGGUACUUAAAGAUCUUACUUGAAGACCUUGGCCGAUAUGAGGAAGCCUUGCAAUAUAUUUCAAGCCUUGAACCAAGCCAAGCUGGAGUGACAGUGAAAGAGUAUGGUAAGAUUCUCGUAGAGCACAAGCCUGUGGAGACAAUUGAGAUACUUAUGAGGCUGUGCACUGAAGAUGGAGAAUCAGGCAAGAGAGGAGCCUCUAAUGUUGCAUACUUAAAUAUGUUGCCAUCUCCUGUUGAUUUUCUUAACAUCUUCAUCCAUCAUUUGCCGUCGCUUAUGGAUUUUCUUGAAAAGUAUACCAACAAGGUGAAGGACUCUCCUGCUCAAGUAGAAAUCCAUAACACACUCUUGGAGUUGUACUUGUCCAAUGACUUGAGCUUCUCAUCAAUAUCACAAGCUAGCAAUGGUGAAGAUCUAAAUCUCAGGGCUAGAUCAGGUGCAACAGCAACAUCAAGAUCAGGGUCCAAUGGGAAAUUUAUUGCUGAUGGCAAAGAUUCAAAUAAGGAAAAGGACCGUGUGGAAAAGCAAGAGAAAGGGCUACGACUGCUUAAGAGUGCAUGGCCAUCUGAGCUGGAACAUCCACUUUAUGAUGUUGAUCUUGCCAUAAUCCUUUGUGAAAUGAAUGAAUUUAAGGAAGGCCUUCUCUAUCUAUAUGAAAAAAUGAAACUCUAUAAAGAGGUGAUUGCUUGCUACAUGCAAGUUCAUGAUCAUGAGGGUUUGAUUGCAUGCUGCAAACGACUAGGGGAUUCAGGUAAGGGUGGGGACCCAAGUCUGUGGGCAGAUCUGCUAAAAUAUUUUGGUGAACUUGGAGAAGAUUGCUCCAAGGAAGUGAAGGAAGUUUUGACAUAUAUAGAAAGGGAUGACAUCUUGCCUCCUAUUAUUGUUCUUCAAACACUGUCCAGAAAUCCAUGUCUCACACUCUCUGUCAUUAAGGAUUACAUUGCUCGAAAGCUUGAACAAGAAUCAAAGUUGAUCGAAGAGGACCGUCGAGCUAUUGACAAGUAUCAGGUUAGUGCUUAUUUUUUGCAGCUGUCAUUGUUAACUUGUUUAUUAUACCUCUUCUUUCAUUUCACUGGCCUCCAGUAAAAGUUGGUUAACAUUCUUUGUUCCUUCUUGAAGUCUUCCUUGGAAACUUUUGUAAUGACAUGAUUGUGAUCUUGUCAAAGUAGAAUGUAUCAAAUAAGUUUGCAUGACUAUCUAGUUAGGUUUAAAAUGGCAUGAACAAUAAGGAAUAAAAAAAAAAAAAAAAAAAAAACUGAAGUGUUUCAAAUAGCUAUGAGAUAAGUGCAUCACGGAAAAAAUAAAAUCUAGGGAUCAUCUUCAGGGUUCUUGGAUAGGGUUACUUUGAACUGACUUCUAUUUUUUGUUUUGUUUUUGUUAGACAUUGAACUGAAAAUCUACAUUUUGGACAAUUCAACAUUUUCUUGACCAGUGAAAGUGUUUCUUUGAAAGAAAUUGGCAUAUUAUUUAGCAAGUGAGAAAAUAAUCCAAAUAACUUUAACAAACACUUCAGUCUAAACAAGGGAAAUGAUCAGGCCUGUUUGGCAUGUCAUAGUUCUUUUAUCUAUAUUACAUGAGUAGGUGAAGCUGAGUCUUUCUCAUGAAAGAUAUCUCCAGCUAAAGUAAUCAAUACGGGACAGGCAUGAUGGUACUCUUCCUGAUUUCUGAUGAGAAUAUACAUUUGUGUGUGUGUGUAUUGGACCAAAAAUAAAUCAUCUGCAAAAAAAAAAAAACAAAAAAACAAAAAAACACUUAACACCAUUUUAGGUUUCAAUUCAAACUAUUGUGUGGUUGUUUCGUGUGUGCAUGUGUGAGAGAUUAUCUAAUGAACCCUUUAAUUCUUCAGGAAACCACAUCGGCAAUGAGAAAAGAAAUUCAGGAUCUUAGGACAAAUGCUAGAAUUUUUCAGCUCAGCAAGUGCACUGCAUGUACUUUCACUCUUGAUCUCCCAGCUGUGCAUUUUAUGUGUAUCCACUCAUUCCAUCAGCGAUGCCUCGGCGAUAAUGAGAAAGAAUGUCCUGUAUGUGCUCCGGAAUACAAAUCUGUGCUAGAAACGAAAAGAAGUUUAGAGCAGAACUCCAAAGAUCAGGAUCGGUUCUUCCAGCAAGUUAAAAGUUCGAAGGAUGGUUUUUCUGUGAUCGCUGAUUAUUUUGGGAAGGGGGUCAUUAGCAAAACCAGUAGUGGACCCACAGGUGGUUCUUGAUCAGCAGCAGUUCUUUCAGCUGUGGCGUAUGAGGUUUGUUAACUGUGUUCAGAAUACUCAACAGCGCAAACCAUGCCCUUGUGGGCUUGGAAUUUUGGAGAUAUCGAAGGUUGAGCAACUUUGGAUUUCCUUCCUUUAGUGGCAUUGGAUGACUGGGCUUCUUCUUAUUGUUUUGUUUCCCGAAAUUUGGAGGAGUGAAAUCUUUUGUAUUUUUUUUUUUUGGCAGAUCAAAAUGGUAUAUCCUGAAACAGUUUUGCGGAUCUGCAUUAAUUCGAAAAAUAAACUGAAAUUUGUGAGUAAAAGGCAUUGUUAUAUAACUUAAUGUUCCCAUUUCUCACUUUCUAGCAGCUUUGGAAAACACCCUUAUCAUGUAUCAGCUGGCCACAUCACAACUACUGAGUUGUUUAGAUUUUCCUUAACUCGUUUUUUUUACUAAUUACUCGUCCUUCAAUAAAAAUUCUAUCGCCCUUCUCUCCACACAAAAAAAAAAAUAAAAAAAAAAUCAAUUUUUCUACCUCACUAACCAAAAUUAGCAUCGGGGAAAAAUUACCGAAUUAUCAGCCUUUAAUUUCAACUCGAAUUAAAUUCUAGUUAUUAUUUCAAUUUGCCAAACUGUAAAGCUACAUAGUUGAUGGAACUGUGGAAUGUGAUGUUUACUAUUCAGGUGACCUAGGAUGUUACAGUUGUUGACAACUUGUAAUCAUUAUAUAUCCGUAGCAUACGCAUCCAUUCUAUCCAUUUGUUUGACUGGCCCAGAUUGGAAGGUACACGGUAGCUUAUGGAAUCAGUUGGUAGUUAAAUUCUUCCAAAGGGGAGAAUCCUAGGCCCCUAACAAUAAUUUUCAAGCUUAACCUACUCCUUUGAAUGUGGCCCUUGUCUAUAUAUUAUCUGAGAAUAAAUAUUUUGGUACCCUCAGUCGGUCAUAAGUUAAAUCUGAAUGUUUAUGUUUUAUGAGCUUUACAUGCAUAAAAUAAGAGUUAAUUCAAUUGUUCGUACAUGCAUUGUGAACUUCAUAUGCAUCAAUAAUUAGAAAUUUUCCACGUCGACAACUCGUAAUAAAGAAGUCUUUAUUGCUUGAACAAAUAAUGAUUCUAGUGUAAAUAAUUAGUGAGAAGUGCUUUUUGAUUGAUGAUAUGCAUGAAAAUAUAUCACAUUGGUACUUUUCAUUGUUUGAGAAGUCACUACGAUAAGUCCCAUCUGUAUAAUCUGUUGAAAAGGUCAUAUUUUUUAUCAUGUUCGAUGAUGGCUCAUGUUUUGCAGUUGUCCUAUCAAUAGUAGUCUGUGGUAGACCAUUGCUGUCGGCGCGUACCCAACCUACCAUGUUGGUUCAAGCAAGGUUUGUGCAAUUUAUUAGCAAUUCUCCACCACCCCACAGUGCUUGGGACAAUCGCCAUGAGAGCGUGCUAGACUCUCAACCGUUAAUGCAUUGGAAUGGAAGUCAUCCGUGUUGAAUUGGCGAUGAUAAAAUAAAUAUCUAACUUGGAUGUAAACAAGCACAAGAAAACCCUUUUCGACCGAAAAAAAAACACUCUGAACCCUAGACAUCCCACCCAUGCUCACCCUUUUCAGCUCGAUGGUAUAACACCACCCAAAAAGGCCAAGUCCGGAUUCAGGCCCUCGCCUCAGCAAAUAUUAAACAAUGGUAUUAUAAUGCUAGUCCACAUCCAACUGAGCACUACACCAAAUCUCUCGACAUCCCCUCUUUGGUUAUGCAGAGACAGCCGAAUCAAAUCAUGUUAUCUUCGUCUUCCCUGUCUCUCAUCUAACCCUACAUUUAUUAAUGGCAACUUAUAAUGGGGGUUCCAACAACUGCUUAAACAAUUAUAAGCAGCUUCCCCGACACCUAAAUGCAGAGGCCUGUGACAACAUCAACUCAAGGAUGCUCCUUUAGUUACAUUCCGUGAACCUUGAUUACCACCAACUUCCAAGAUCUAAAAAGAGGUAAUUUGACUACUUGAGUUUGAAGAUAAAUUGACUUUAUCUAUAAACUUCCAAUCGAAUACAGACAUUAUACAAAUAAUGUGUUAAUUAUAAACACUCAGAGAAGUAGAAGCCAAAUUGUCAAUUUCUACAUUUCCAGAAUUUUGUGAUCAUCAAACCAGUGAAACUGACCCAAACACUAACAAUCGAACUCAAAGAUCAAAAUCAUUACUUUAAGGGGAAACAGUAACUUUAUAAACAUGGGCUGGAUGAUCUGCAACAAGAACUUGAUUGCCUCAUCAUGGUUCUCAAAGUAAACAAACAUAUAAAGAUCAAAAGACCAGCGAUAGAUACAUUAAAGGCUAUAUAAAAACAGAGUUCUCCAAAGAAGAACGAACAUGUAAUUUGACAGACUCGAGAGAAAAAAAAGAAAGGAAAAAAGUACUUUCCUACUCUGUUCUCUAGGCAAAAAAAAGAAAAAGAAAUAAAGAAAAUAUAUGUAGGUACAUAUAAGAUCAUCCUUUAUGGUUCCAGCUUCAAGGAAACAACCCGUGAUUGUCUGUUACGCUUUGCCACCUUGACAAAUACUACUGAGAGGCAAGAUGGAGCCCACCAUGGCCUGCGGACCUUUUGCUCCCCUUUCAGGCAAGCCACUGGACAUAAACUUGGUUUUAGCACACACACAGAUGGUAUCUAAAUGCAAUUCAAAUUUCAGAGGAAAAAGGCAUAUAUAUGUAGCUCAAGGGAAAUAUGAUUCCAGAAAGGUUUAAAUUCUCAGCUUGCUAGGAUAGAUAAUGAGAUCAAGAGAGAGUUUCACAAUGCUAUUGAAUGAGGCAUAAGAACGGUUUCUUAGUGUCAGCGUGCUAUGCUAUCAGUAGACAUUUGAGUGCAUGAAAUGAAUGGAUCAUGCAUGGCCAGUCUAUCUCACCAAUCCAUAUACUCUACAAAAACUCUCUUUUCUGUUUUACUUUUGGAAUAAUUAUAUUUUCCAAUAAUCAAAUGUCAUAUGUACCUGUGCAUAGAAAAUGCAACAGUAAGAUAAUCACAACCCUUAUUCAAAUCUAUUUAUCCAAUAACUCCAGAGACUAAAUGAAAUUUUUGAUAUAAGAACGAACACAAAGACAUUUUUUUCACAGCAUGAUAAAGACUGCUAGGAAAAUUUCUAGGCUACAGACCUUUAAUUCGCCUUAGUUCCUUACACAGCGUGAUAAAGUCUCCCCAUUUCAUGUGGCACCGUCUUAUAAACCGAAGAAUCUGCUCAGUAGUAAACAUUGACAUGCCUUCCAGGUAUUCUCCAUUGACUCCAUUUUCCUUAAAAGUUUGCCGGUAACUGCCGAGGUUUAUCUCUUCCAACCACAAACCGACAUCCUGUACGAAAGGGGAAAAUAAACAUGAGAAUACAUGUGGGUGAGCCAUGUAUCUUUAUAUUCGUUUUAUUAUAUAUGGCCAAAAAAUAUGUACAUGAGGCCUUCAUCAGGGCACAUGAUAAACUCAGGCUAUUAUUAAGUCACUGUUAUAAUAUAACAGUCCCUCCAACCCAAAAAUAAAAAUAAAAAAAACAAUAUUCACCCAAAUUUUUGUUCAGGACAACCUUAAACUUAGGGCAAUUUAAACUCUUUCUUUUGAGAUUAUCCGACUAGAGUUCAUCCAUAUCAAACGGCAUUACUUCACAUGGCAAAGAAAUGUUUUUGUCUGUAACUUGGCUGUGUUUAAUUUUAAUAUCAAUAAUCCCCUUUAGUCACAAAAUAUCUGUUCCCAGAGGUAAUCCUAAGAUUCCUAAGACCAAUAGUAAUGUGUUUGUCUCUUUAUUUUCACUGUAACGUACUUACUCAUAGCUACUAAUAGUUAGGUGGAGGCAUCUUUAGCACAACUUCAGAGUCAAAGACCACAUUCAAGCUUUAGCUCAUAGUUUUGUUCACUUGUGAAGUUGUUAAAAAAAAAAUUAUAAUCCAUUCAUCAUUCUAUGGACAGGGAAACAAUUUCCACACCCCAAGAUGAGGAGGGUCCUGACCAAGGGAAUAGCAACAGAUAAUACGGUAUUGCACUAACAACAAACGAUUGUUCUGUAUCAUAUUAGAAUCGUUUUAUAAAGUGACAAAGAGUCAAACGCCUGACACCUCAAGAACCAUAACUCAAAGAAAGAAGAUUGUGUCGAAUAAUAGUUGGAGGAGGAUGAAUUGAUGAGUGAAGGCAAUUAUUUCCUGUAGUAACAACAUGAGAUGGAUUCAAAUGAAACUGAUGAAUUUCCCAGCUUGCCAAGUAUGAAAGAUAAUUAGCAGAUUACAUGAAAAGUCUCCUCUAUUUCGAUUCAUUAAGUUGGUCUAUUUCACAAUAAUCAAAACUAAAACCUACCACUUGAUAACUGUUCCCCCAGUAACAACCCCAUCAAAAAGAAAAUACAUCACAAGAUGUUAAAAAAAACCCCAAAAUUUCAAAAAGUUAAUACAUACAAACACACAUAUAUACAAAGCCUAACUCAAAGAGAAACAGAUGUAUGAGCUAGCAAUAAAUUAACAAAAAAAAUGAAGUCAAAAUCAGAUGUCCCAAACAACAAUUCUCCAGUAACAACGCACAAGAUCUACUUGAUUGAAUGAGAAAUAUCCAAAAACAAGGACAGAAAAAGAGAAAAAGAGACUGAAAAUUGGUUACCUCAACAGUCCAAAUGAAGAAAUCAAGAGGCUCUGGUGGGUGUUCUUUGCUCAUCUCCCUCAUCAUAACGCCUUUUCAAGACCUUCAAAUCAUUCACAACCCAAACACACUCUCAGUCACAGAGACGACACAAAGAGUAAAGAGCUUAAAAAUAAAAUUUCACAAAAAAUAAAAUAAAUAAAUAACAGCUUGGUCUAAGACUAGUGGCAGUUACUGCGAUCCGAAUUUUCUUCGUUUUUUUUUCUUUUUCUUUUGUUCGUUGUAUUUUCUGGGAGACCAAACAGAAAGUUAGAGAAAGCUGGAUUGGGACUUACCGUGCGGAAGGUGAGUGACAAUUUUGAGGGUAUAAAUUCUCUACAUUUGUUUCAGAGCUUAAAGAGAGAGAAAGUAAGAAGAAGUCUGAAACUGAUGACUCAUUUGCUUUCUUGCCCACUCUUUUUUUCUGUCUCUUAAUGGAGUUGAUGGGCCUCCAUUUUUCUCCUUUAUUUUCCCUUUUAAUUUCUCUUAAUUAUCAUUGCUAAAUUUCAUAUAAUAACACUAAAUUACAUUUUUAUCCAUAUAAAUAUUGUAUCGGAUUGCAAAGCGAUACUGGGGAGAAGGAACCCAACACACAUCUCAUAUGCAAAAGUUAAUACUAUUAAUCGCUUUAGCUACGUGUCCUUCACAAUCCAUUUAAAUUUUUACUAGUAUCUCAAUUGUGAAGAACAUAUAUUCGUGAACGUAAAUCGAAAUACUAGUAAGACUAAAUUCAUUUGAAUUCUAAACCAUAAAAGGUUAUAAUUGUAAACGUCAAAGUGAAAUGAGAUCAAAACAAUUGGAAAUAAAACCCUAAUUUAGCCAAGGAGAAAUUCUCAUUAGUACCCCUUAAGGUAACUUAUAAAUUUGGUUGGUAAAUAAUUUAAUAUUUUAUUUUGGUUCAAUGCAUGUCAAAUCAUAGAGUAAUUGGUUAUUAAUAAUACACCUUAUGACGUUUACUAUAAUAACUUUGUCUUAAUUAUUUUGGGACCAUUAUGAAAUUAUUACUAAACCAGCUUCAAUUAAGGUGCAUGUUUGGGCCCACGUGGGCCGGCCUGAGUUCGAUUGAACUGGAAGACUACGAAGGCGACAAGUUGGACCGACCAAAUCGAAACCAUGCAGACGGUCAAUGAAUCUUAUGGUCAUCAGAUCGUACGGUCGUGACGGGAGUUUCUUUGAAGCUACAGUGAACAGCUACAUGUGCAACACGUGUCCAUACCGUCGCUUACGUUGCGCUAUCAUUGUCCCUGGACCACAUACCAAAUAAUAACCCUAAAUCAGUAAUUAGAAUUACAUCACUUCCUUCUUUUAGGUGUUUAUUAUAUUGUCACUUGUUGUCUCUCCUUUUGAUCUUGCACCCACUUUUUACUGACUUUUUAUUACAAAUGUACGUAUGCACCCCAAAGAUUACAAAAAUAACUUUUCUUACCUCUUUUGUAUUUUUUUGAUGUAAAUUACUGUAAUAUAAGGGAAAAUUUGAAUUCGGGUAUAAGGAGACGAGCACUCUCCUGACAAAAGUAGUCAAUGUUGUUUUACUUAUAACUCAUUAUUUCUAUAGUUAGUUAAGAUUUUGUAUUAAUAUAAACCUUAGUGUUAUUACAAGAUAUAGUUAUCAAUAUGGAUUGGGUAUGUGUAUCAAUGUGGACCGACAAUGGGGCCAAUUCAAGAGGUGGGUUAAACAAGACCUUCUUAAUAUGCUCCUAUGGACCUAAUCCAUACUAUAUAUAUAGCAAGGGCAUGACUCAUGAGGGAAGACAAAAGGGACCCAACUUAAAAAGAGCCCAAUUUUAUAGUGACAUAACAUAUAUUGAAAUGCAGUCUCGAUCUUUUGGACUACAAGAGUUCAAGAGAUUGUGGUCACCCACCGUUGGAUAUUAAUCCAACGGUUGAAAAAAGUUUUUUAAAAGGAGUGCAAGAGUGAGUGAACCAUUGAAUUUACAUCCAAUGGUGAGUGACCACAAAUCUCUUGGACCACUGUAGUCCAAGAGAUCAGGACUGUAUGGAAAUGUAUGAAUGAUUUUUUUUAUUUUAUUAUAAUUUUAAUACAAGCGAUAUUUUAAAUUACAAGAAUGAAGGAAGUUCUUCACACAUGUUACCAAUUCCAACUUGAGACCGUGAUUUGCAAAUCAAUAUAUUUUUUCACUCAACUAAACUCCGUUGACGUGGACAUUUUUUUUGUAGUGUUGUGCUGUGUAAUGGUUAAUCUUACAUUGUUAGAUUUAUAUAUUGUUAAAACAUGCUUUGAUCUAAUGGCUUAAAUUUGUGUAAAGGUGUUGGGCCCACCACCAUUAGUAUUGCUACACACGUCCUAAAGUCGUGAGGUCGCCCACACCGGAUCACCCCGUCGUCAAAUUUCCUCUCUCACUCGAGAGCCAGGACAAUUCAAGCGCUCGCAUUUUCCGUUUUUUCAGCUCCGUGUAUCCCUAAACCCAAAACCCCCAAAUUUUCCCUCCCUUUUUUCUCUGCGAGCAAAAGCCAAACAAAUGUUCUCACCAGGAACUAAGCGAUCCAAUGUGAACCCUCGUCGGGACCCAGGAUCUCCGGCCACUCCUCUCGUCGAGAACCGGCGAUCUGUUUCCGAUAACCCGGUCCCGAACCGGCCCAGUACCGGAACUCCGGCUCCCUGGGCUCCUCGCUUAUCUGUUCUCGCCAGGUACUCGUCUAAUUUAUCAUGCAUUCGUUCUUUGAAUUGCUGAAAUGAGUUCGUCGGUUCUGCAUGUGAGCUUAAUUGUUGGUUUUAAUUGGAUAUGGUAAUUGGAGAGUUGGGUUGGUGAAUGUAAGGGCUGAUUUUCAAUCGUUUGUGUUGUUUUGUGUUUGGUUAGAGUUUUACCAGCGAACCAAAGUGAGAAAGGGGAUGAAAUUAAGCCUGUAUAUGUUGGAGAGUUUCCCCAAGUUGUUCGUGAUGAACAGGCCAGUAUGGUCCAGAAGCAUGUUCAUGGUUAGUAGGGUUUACUCCAUGAGCUUGGUUGUUGAAUGAAAUGACUAACUGUAGAAUGGUAUCCGAUGUUUUCUCUUCUUUUUUUUUCGUCUUGCAGGUGAUACAUAUGUAUCUGGUGGAAUGGAGAGGGGAACAUCUUUGGCAUGGAUUAUAUGCGGAAACAGACUCUUCGUGUGGAGUUAUCUGUCUCCUGCAGCAUCGAUCAAUUGCAUUGUUCUUGAAAUCCCUGCAAAAGUUUUUGAAGGUGGGGAUGUGGGCAGAAGUGGUGGGAACUGUUGGUUGCUUUGUGUUGUCAAUUGGGAUAGCACGUCUACAAGAACAAAGAAAGUUGUUAAACACUGUAGCUCUGCUGGUAUUGUAUUGUGUAACAAAAAAACUCGAGCUGCGGUGUACUGGCCUGACAUUUAUGCUGAAGGCAGAACUGCCCCCGUUGUUAGUGUUGCAUCUUCUGAUGAAUUGGAGGCAAAUUCUUCGCCUAUUGAUAGGAAGACCACCCCAAAGCGACAGCAACUAAAUAUGCGGCACAGGAGUAGUUUGACUGGGUUUUGUACAUUUAACUCUUUGAUUGCUUCUGCAGUCCCUGAUUCCCAGAAUAUGUGUGUUGCGCUUGCCUGUAGUUCAGAUGGCGAGCUAUGGCAGUUUCAUUGCAGCCCAUCUGGUGUUAGCCGUAAGAAAGUAUAUAGGGACAAUCAGACUCUUUCCUCCCAAGGGGGUGACAAUGGUCAAAACCUAGGGAGCAAGGGUUAUCCAAGGUCACUGACCUGGUGUGUUCCAAGUCUUCCUAUGCAGGAAUCUAACAGGCUGUUUGUUCUUCUGACAGAUCAUCAUAUUCAAUGUUUUAAUGUUGAACUUUGUGAUGAAUUUGUUGUGUCAAAACUCUGGUCUCAUGAGAUUAUUGGCUCAGAUGGGGAUCUGGGCAUUAAGAAAGAUUUGGCUGGGCAGAAGCAAAUCUGGCCUCUCGAUAUGCAGGUGGACUAUCAUGGUAAAGUGACUACCAUUCUGGUUGCUACCUUCUGCGUGGACCGGGGUAGUGGUUCAAGCUACACACAGUAUUCUCUUUUGACUAUGCAAUAUAAAUCUGGAAUGAGUGUGGAGCCUACCCAUGAAAGAGUUUUAGAGAAAAAAGCACCUGUGCAAGUGAUAAUCCCAAAAGCAAGAGUAGAAAAUGAAGACUUCUUAUUCUCCAUGAGACUGCGGGUAGGGGGAAAGCCUUCAGGAUCAGCAAUCAUCCUUUCUGGUGAUGGAACAGCAACAGUAUCUCAUUAUUUUAGAAACUCUACAAGGCUCUAUAAAUUUGACCUACCUUAUGAUGCUGGAAAGGUUCUAGAUGCUUCAAUUCUUCCGUCUACAGAUGAUGGUGAAGAAGGGGCAUGGGUUGUACUCACUGAGAAGGCAGGAAUAUGGGCAAUACCUGAGAAGGCUGUUAUACUUGGUGGGGUUGAACCUCCUGAACGAAGUUUGUCACGUAAAGGUAGCUCAAAUGAAGGAUCUGCACAAGAAGAGAGAAAAAACCUUACAUUUGCAGGCAAUUUUGCUCCUAGAAGGGCUAGUUCUGAAGCAUGGGAUGCUGGAGAUAGACAAAGGGCUAUGACUGUAAGUGCGCGUCAAACUGCCCAAGAUGAAGAAUCAGAAACUUUACUGAGCCAGCUUUUCCAUGAUUAUCUUUUAUCUGGGCAAGUUGGUGCCUCGUUUGAAAAGUUAAAAAAUUCAGGGGCAUUUGAUAGGGACAGAGAGACAAAUGUUUUUGCGCGAAUGAGCAGAUCAAUUGUUGACACUUUAGCUAAACACUGGACAACAACUAGAGGAGCCGAGAUUCUGGCAAUGGCUGUAGUAUCCUCCCAACUCAUGGAUAAGCAACAGAAACAUACAAAAUUUCUCCAGUUUCUUGCUUUAUCCAAAAGUCAUGAGGAGCUGUGUUCGAGACAGAGUAUGCCCUCAUGCCUAUUAUAUUUGCAAUGUUUUAUCAUUUGAUGUCAAAUCCUUUCCAAUUGACAUGGCAUAUGUUGAAACUUGAAAGUUCAUGCAUGCAACAGUGUAGGUAUAGCAUGCAUUUACUUCCACGCGUGCUUAUCUAACCCACUGCACUCAAUCAAUUUCUUUUAGGUUGUCAGAUAUUAACACAUAAAGUUAUAAUUCGUUACCGGAGUUUAAUUUAUCAAAAAUAUGAUUUUCAGGGAAUUUUUUCUUUUUGGUGCUGUGCUCAUUUGAUAAUUUUGUCAUCAGAGUAUCUAUUGGAUGCACGGAGUAUAUUAAUUAGUGUCUAGAUGACAAUAUUUCCUAAGGUGUCCUAUCAUGGGGGUAGAAGGCCUUUUGAGGAGUAUAUUGAUUUGAGGUUCAGUGGGGUGCUGUUGACCAACUAAAUUAUGGUUUUUUGUUUCCUUUUUGGCAGGAAAUUCUUUGCAAAUUAUCUUGGAGCAUGGUGAAAAGCUUGCUGGAAUGAUUCAACUAAGGGAAUUGCAGAACAUUAUUAGCCAAAACCGCUCUAGUGGACUUAACUCCUCCCAUUCUAGUCCAGAAAAUCAAAUAUCAGGUGCUCUCUGGGAUCUCAUUCAAUUAGUUGGUGAGAGAGCCCGCCAGAAUACUGUUCUUCUGAUGGAUAGGGAUAAUGCUGAAGUCUUUUACAGUAAAGUUUCUGAUCUUGAACAAGUGUUCUCUUGCUUAGACAAACAGCUAGAGUAUGUAAUAAAUGCAGAGCAGCCAUUUGGGAUUCAGGUCCAGAGAGCUUGUGAACUGUCAAAUGCAUGUGUUACUAUAGUUCGUACAGCCAUGCAAUACAGAAGUGAGCAUCACUUGUGGUAUCCGCCACCUGAGCGCUUAACACCUUGGUAUUGUCUAGCUGUGGUGCGCAAUGGGAUGUGGCACCUCGCUUCCUUCAUGCUGCAGCUGUUAAAGGAGGCAUCUCAACUUGAUGUGUCUGCAAAAUCAGAUUUAUAUACUCAUCUAGAAGUGCUGGCUGAAGUUCUGCUUGAGGCAUAUGCUGGUGCUGUCACAGCUAAAAUUGAACUAGGAGAUGAACACAAAGGCUUAUUAGAUGAGUAUUGGAAUAGGAGGGAUGCACUCCUAGACUCGCUUUAUCAACAAAUCAAAGAGUUUGUGGAAGUUGGGCAUCAGGUAUUCUUUGUUUAUUACUAUUAUUGUUUAAAUUUUAUUUUAGCUCAACGGUAUCUCUUUGUGAUUGUGAUCCUGGUGCUGGAUAAGUAUGCAUCUUUGAAUUUAUUGUCUUAGCAGAAUUUAAAUGAAGGAACUGAUGAUCUAAAUGAAGAAAUUCUUGCGAAGCUUUCGUCAUGUUUGCUGCCCAUGGCAAAACGGCAUGAAUGCUACAGUACUUUAUGGAAAAUAUGCUGUGACCUGAAUGAUUCUGGACUACUAAGAAAUCUGAUGGUAUGACAGUUAUAAUUUCUUCGGCUUGUUACUUGUUUAUUUUCAUUUGUUUUCUGAAACUUAUGGAAUGGUUUCUCUGUUGGAAAGGUUGUUCUGUGCUAGUGUGUAGUAUUAGUCCGUUGGAAUUCAUUUAACCAUUGAAGCAUAGUAACCUGCGUUGGUUGUUUCUUGAAGCUCUUCCUCUUAAUGGUGCCACAGUUCUGAACGUUUACUUUGAAGCUGUUCUCUUCUAAUUAGAAUAAUUCUUCUGCAACUUUUUUCAUCAUUUCAAUGUUUAGUCCUACUUAGAAGUUUGUUAUUUUUAAGGAUUUCAUUAUUAUGUUUCUGUUUAAACUUAAAAACAUAGGUUUUCUCUUGAUCAUUUGCUUCGAAGAUAUUGUUUGAUGUGAUUUCUGUUUUCUCUUGUUUUCUUGUCUUAUUAGAUGUCUCCUUCGUUUUCUGAAAAUGAUUUGUUAUAUAGCAUGACAGCAGGGGACCUAAUGGAGGGUUCAGUUACUUUGUGUUCAAACAACUUUAUCUAAGGAGACAACUUUCCAAACUGCUUAGGCUUGGGGAAGAGUUUCCUGAAGAGUUAUCCAUAUUUUUAAAGUAUCAUCAAGAUCUUCUGUGGCUUCAUGAAGUGUUCCUUCAUCAAUUUUCUUCAGCUUCGGAAACUCUUCAUGAAUUAGCUCUUUCUCAAAAAGAAAGCUCAAUUUCAGAAGCUGAAGAGGGGACUGGUCCUGAGAAUCUGACUAUGUUACCGAAACUGGCAGACAGAAAGCGUUUUUUGAAUCUCUCAAAAAUAGCCGCAAUAGCAGGUAUGUUUUAUCCUUUGACUUUCCUUAAUAGUUUCUUCAUAUAAUUCCCCUCUUCUUGAGCGUUUUCUUGUUUUCUUUACACUGCAUACUCCAUAUGUUUUCUUAUUCUUUUAACUGUUAUUUAAAGAAAGUUUUAUUUUUAUUGCAAAAUCAAGUUGAUAUAGUAAUUUGUGCAAACCAUUAAGUCAAGCCACUUGAGGACUUCCCAUUUAAUGAGAAAUUGGUAAAUGCCUCUCUAGUAUAGCAAUCAAGGGUUGCUAGUUGUGAGAUAUAUUUUGGUUUCUGUGUUGUCUUGAUUUUUAUGAGUGGUUUUGUCAUCUAAAAGACCAAGUCAAACUUCCGCAUGUUACGAAUUGCUACAUGGUUCACUGCUUUGGGGUGUUGGAAAUGCUAAUAUUUUUUUGGCAUGGGAAGAUAAGAACAUUACUUGGUAAUUUUAUUUGUUUUAUUUUAGCUUGAGCUAUACUGGUUAUUUAAGUGUUAUAUAGUUGUUUGCUUCAUUGGCAGGUAAGGAUGUUGAUUCUGAGACCAAAGUGAAGCGCAUUGAGGCUGAUUUAAGGAUUCUAAAGUUGCAGGUCUGUUGUGUUUUAAAACAAAUUUAAUUGCCAUUUUUGUUUUUAGUUGAAGGGUCUUCCCGAUUAUUUUUCCUUUUUAAGAGCUUUCGUUAUUUGGGUAUCAGAAUUGGCAAAUCAGUCUUGUAUUAUCAUGCCUUCAUUAAAAAGAAAAAAGAGAGAAAGGAUUCUGCUUUUUAUGAUUGGGUAUGGGUUAACAGGAACAAUUCAUGUGCCAUGUCUCUUGCCCCUUCCUCCCUUCCACCCUUCAUAUUCCACGGUUGGCGGCAGUUCCAUGAAAAUUUUCUUCCAGUCAUUGCACUUGCAUGAUUAGAGCCCAAAUUCUCAAUGGUGAUGGUGCAUUUUUAGUCAUUUGUAUUAAAUUGCAUGAGCAAUUAAAUCAAGCUUAGCAGCUUGAGAAGGUUGUGCCUUGUUCUCUUCAUAUGUCCUAAUUGAACAAGGCAUAUAUAACAGAAUUUUCCACCCCUCCCACUCUAAUUAUUAAGGUGGAAAGUAAUUUAUUUUAUUUUCAAGGAUAGGACUUUUGGAAAUCAGUAGUGAUCAAGCAAAGCCUUGAAUUAUGACUUAUUUUUUAACUCUUGAAUAUGAUGAAUCUCUUUCAACUAUGUACAUUCACUGUCAGUCUUCACCUGAUACAUCAUCUGUUGUUGCAGGAAGAAAUAAUAAACCUCCUUCCUGAUGAUGAAACAAAGCAAAGCCUUGACACAAAGCUACUUCAUCCAGAAGAUCUUAUCAAGCUGUGCCUUGAAGGUGAAAAAGGUGCAGAGCUGUCACUGCGAGCUUUCGAUGUAUUUGCAUGGACCAGCUCCUCCUUCCGUAAGACCCGUGCAAACCUUUUAGAGGAGUGCUGGAGAAAUGCUGCUGAUCAAGAUGAUUGGAGCAAACUCUAUCAGGCAUCGGUAUCUGAAGGGUGGAGUGAUGAGGAAACCUUGCAGAACUUGAAAGACACCGUGCUUUUCCAGGCAUCAAAUAGAUGUUAUGGACCAGAAGCUGAAACUUUUGGAGAAGGGUUCGACAAAGUGUUGUCACUGAGACAAGAAAUCGCGGAGCCUCCAAUCAUAAAGGAUUCAGUUUCUUCUGUGGAAGCAGUACUCAUGCAGCAUAAGGAUUAUUCAGAGGCAGGGAAGCUGAUGCUGACCGCGAUCAUGUUGGGUAGUUUACAGGACGAUAACAUAGAACAAGAAGGUCCUGUGCCAAUGGAAUGAGAGUCAGAUUAGUAUGAAUCAUGGUGAUGAGUUCCUGGAUGUGUCAUUGUUUUUUUUUUGUUGAUACACUGAGAUUCGUAGUGUACUAGUCGACAAGUUACAGCUAAAUUUUCUCUUUUCCUUUUUCUUUUUCUUUUCCCUUGUGAAAUUCUCCAACCAAGUUUAUACGAACAUUUGUCAGUCUACUCCGAUGCUUUACUGGUUGUCAGUUGUAAGAAUUUUCUAAGAAGGCGGCAAGUUUUCUUUUUAUAUAUAUAUAUGAACAAGGGAAUUGAACCUGGGAUUGGAAUCCGCAGUAAUUCAUGCAAGCAGUUGCAUUAUCGGCAAUUUCUGUCAAAUUUAAGAAUGCCUUUAGUUUUGCCUUUAGUUUUAAGGGAAAACAAAGCGUGACAAAAUCAGACCAAAAUUGAAGAAAUAAGAAGAAAAAAAGAGUGCAGUUUCGGCGUUUCUUUCUUUGCCGCGUUGCCUUCCAUUACCUCGAAAAUACAUCUAAAUUUCAAGAAAAAUAGAUUUAUUUUGAGGCGGAAAAAUGCAUGAUGAAUUUACCGGGAAAUACUACUGGUUUUGUUGAUGAAUUUCGUUGAAGUAGAAUGCUUUUCUUCUUCCUCUUCUUCCAUUGCCAACUACUUUUGCAUUCUAUUAAAGCCUCUUAUUUUUGGUCAAAAACUACUGCGGCAGGCAAGCCAAUGUGAAGAAGAAGAGGGUCCCCUGCCAAUGGAGCGACAGUCGGGGUUAGUAUUGAAUCAUGAUGUUGAGCUCUUGAAUCGAAUCUCUUUUUUGCUACUUCUAUAAUUAAUAAAAUAUUCAAAAAUGUAGAAAUGAGUUUAGCCAAGUUGGCUAGUGGAUGUGCUUCCCACUCUGCACUGACUUCGAAUUCCCCCACUCUUAGGUUUAUAUCAGUUCAAAGUAGAUUAUCGCUUGUAUAUAUUUUUUUAAAAAAAUAAAUUUUUUUUUUUCAAAAGUAAUUGAUCAUUUGUUUUCCUUUUUUGUUCUUCCCAUAUAAAAUUGCUCUAAAAGGAAAUAUUUGUAAGUUUACUCGUUAUCAUUUACUGAGCGAUUAUAUAUUUUGAAGUGGAUAUUUUAGGUUAUUCUUACAUAAAAAUUUUCUAGAUUCAUAAUUGUUUGGUUAUCCUAAAUGUGAAGAAAAAUGUUGUUCGAUAAAUAAAAUUGAAAAGAAGAUGCGGGUAAUCAAAUAACUAAAUAAUUUUCGAUUCUGCUCAUUUUUUAUAUGUUAAGUAAUUCUUGAAAGAGAACUUAAAAAUUGAAUGGUUUCGAUGCUCGAUUUACAGCCCAUAAAUAGGGUUUCCUUGUUUUCAUUUCCCUUGAAAGUGUUCAGCUCUACCUAUGGUUACUGUGUCAUACCAAUUUCCAAACUGUUGUUAUUUAUAUUAAUUUCUUUUAUACAAUAUCCAAAGUCUUGCCUCUAAUACAAAAUCUUUUUCCGUAGGGUUGGUGCUGAAUAUCUUGGUUUGGAAUUUUUAAAGAGGAUUAUUGAACAAGACGACCCCAAAACGAAAUGAACAACACUAAUCUAUUUGUUAGUGGUUACUUAGACUAAUUAAGUAAAAUAAUGAAUAUUCGUUAAUAUACUAGACAAGACAAGCAAGUCAAGUACUUUGCACUACAGACCAAAGCAAAGACUCGUGUAGCUUUUGUUAUGUUUGGAGACUUUUUACAUUAUCUCUAUUAUUUUUUUUAUUCCGACCACAUGACGUGCUACUAUGCAUGAAUAAAUAUCAUUUGAGAACAAGCAAGCCUCAUUGACUUCUUACACCAAAUACUAAAUACAUUUCUUGCUCGUUUGUGAUUUCUUGUUUAGGAAGGACUUUUGUUUAUUAGCGCUUUUAUUAUAAAAUAUUAAAAAUUUUAUAAGAAAUUUCAGUGCUUUCUAGAAAAUCAUUUUGAAGUGAUUCAUGAAGAAGCUCAUAGCAAAUGCUUCUCCAUAAAGUGCUUUUAUGACCCAUAAGUGCUUUUAUUUAUUUUUAAUUUUAUCAAACGUUGUUGUUGUCACCAAAAAUGUGUCGUUUUAAAUUUAUAAAUACUUGCAAGCACACGAAUCGGAUAUAGUAUAGAUGUGUAAGAACCAGGUCGUACCCAUAAAGAUUGAGUGAAAAAUAUAGAAAACUAAUUAAACCCAAGUUAAUUUUAUUGCCAACCUAGUUGAAUCAAAUGGUGAUUUGUUCGUUGAUAAAGAAAAUUAAAUAAAGCAAAAAAAAAUGGAAAUUAAAAUAGAGAUUAAAUUAAUGAGAAAAGUAACUAAGGUAUUAGAAUCCACACCACUAUUUCAUAAAACUCUAAUUAUUUACCUGUUAAUUUCCACGCUGAGUAGCAAUCUAGAAGUCAACCUAUUACUUUCUCAAGAUAUAUCAUUUAGGCCCUUUAAUGAAUCUUUUUGUAAAUUCCCCUUCCCUUCAUUAGUACAAAUUCUAAGCAUCGCAUGUAAACAAAAUUUUUUUAACUACGAAGGAUCAAAGUUUCCUAAGCAUCCUAGGUGAAAAAGGUUAUUUGAAUGACAAGAGAUCAAAGAAAUUUGGAUACUAAAAAUACAAAACCAAGGAUGUAUUAAUAAAUCAACCCAAAUUCUUAACUACCACAAAUACACGAUAGAAGUGGUGAAAAGAAAGUUAAUCUACUAAUCAUGUGAAGUGGAAAUUAUAAACAUUGAAUAAUUUACUUCGGAAACUAGAAGAUAAAAACUAGAACUUCAUUUUAUAAUGAUGUUUCAUUAUUAACAAAAUUUAACUAGACAUAAAUAAAAUAACAAAAUAAUUACAAGAUAAAAACUAAAGUGGAAAUGAAAAAGGGAAAAUUGCAUCAUUAACCCUUUGGAUCCUUGCCUGUCGGCUCCCCAAGGUUCUCUCCAAUUCUAUCGCAUUUUCUCUCCUCUUUCUUUCUCUUUCUCUCUUUCCUUCUCUUUGCCGUGUAUCUCUUGGUACCUCACAUCUUUGCUCCAAGCUUUUAAUUAUAAUCAAAGUUUAGGAGCUUAAAUGAUAGAAUAAUCAAGAGAGAAUAAGAAUUCUGGUCUUAUCUAUGCACAUUACAAUAGAACACAAAGUGGCAAUAAUGUCAACUACACUUUUAUUUUAUUUUCUCUCUUUUGAGUGCCAAUUUUCCACAAUCCCGCGUGGCAAACGCGUAUAGAGACGAAGCCACACCACCACUCCCUCCCUCCCAGAAAAAAAUUUCACUACAAAACAAUACAAACAAAGAGAAAGAGGCUUACAUUACAUAAUGUCAUAAAACAAAAUAUGAAAAUAAAAAGAAGCUCCCUGUUGUACAUCAAAUUUAAUUUAUAAUCUCUAGGGAAAUUAAUUUUCUGGGUAAUUUACAAUGUGUAGUUUCCAGGUCGCUUCCUUUAUGGGGGCAAAAUUGUAAAAUGCAACAUAUCUCACGUCUAUAAAAAACCCCCAAUCAUCACUCAACUAAUCACACCUCAACCUCAUUUCCUCAUCCUAUUUCUAUCAUUAACUGCAGUGUCUUUCUUGACAUUAUUCAAUAAAUCCCAUGUUUGUUUUUUCUCUGCUACGCAUUAAUCUGGGGGAAAAGGCUAAUUUAAGUACUCUCCAAAGCCAGCACUCACCAAUUCCCUUUUCCGUGAAUCAAAUGAGGCCUAAUAUUUCAUUUUAGUCGCACAAAUUUCUUUGUGAGCUUUUUUGAAGCACUUUCCAAACCCAGCACUCAACAACUCCUUGAGCCUUCCUCAUUUAGUCAUAUACGUACGGUGAGUCCAAUAUUCCAUGCCAAAUCUUUUUUGAUCUUUUUUUUGAACAUUUUUUUUUGUCUGACCAUUUGUCUAAUUUUGUAGUUGCACCAAGAAACAUGUUCCUAGAGCCAAAAACAGAUGAUCAAGCUUCCGAAGGUGUGGGCAGCAGCACUAGCUUGCUCAUUCAAACCAUCAACACUUCUGGCCAAUACGUGCGGCGCAAGAGAUGGCUUAGAUAUAUUGCUCUAGGCGUUUUCAUCUCCUCACGCAGUAAGAAAACCAGAUUGCCCCAUGAAGCCCCUACCUAUGAACCUUUAGAAGCACCGGCACCACCGGCCCCUGCCUUUCAGCAUGCGAUUGACAUCCCUCUUCAGGACCGGUUUCUGAACAAGGUUGGUCGCAUUGUGAGAGAGAAGAACUUGAAUGCACUGCGAGGACUUGGUGGUGUUGCUGGCAUUUUGCCCCUUCUCAGUUCUCACUUUGAGGUAGCAAGCAAAUAAGUAGGAAAAACAAAAACAAAAAAAACAAAAAAAAACUUAAUAAUCUUAUACACUUGAUAAGGAAUGAUUGAGAAUGAUUGAACUUAACUUUGUUAAGUUAAUCAUAUUCGUUCUUUAUAUGACAGGAUGAUGGUGUUGAUGGUGGUCAAAAUCCACAAGGAUGGAACACGACCAAGUCCCCAGUUGAUGCAAAAAGCUUCUCCAACUUCUUGUUGAAGGCUUGCAAUCAAUAUACAGUUUUUUUCCUCUUACUCUCAGCAGGGUUUUCGUUUGCCAUUGAAUUCAUGAAGCAAGGAGUCAAACAAGGGUGGCACGACGGUGUUGCCAUACUCUUUGCGGUGUUCUUACUUGUUGCUUUCCCUUCAGUGGGGAACUACCUCCAUGAGAGAAAGCUGGUGAGGAAGCACCUGCUGGACAGGAGCAGACUGAUGGUGAAUGUUGAAAGGAGUAACAGAGAACCUACAUCAGUUAACAUAUCUAGUGUUGUGGUGGGCGAUAUAGUUCAUUUGAAGGAAGGAGACCGCGUCCCUGCCGAUGGUUUGUUCAUAGAUCAUGGUGAGGACUUGAUGUUGGAUGAGGUAUUGAACCCCAAAAUUGAUUGUCAACAAAACCCGUUUGUGUUGUCUGGUUCAAAGGUUAUUAAGGGGCAUGGUCGCAUGGUUGUGACAUGUAUUGGUGCCAAAACAGUUUUUGCUGAGAUGCACAGCUUGGGGACUAAUCAUAAUCCAAACGAAAAGACGCUGUUACAAGAUUUGUUGGACAAGCCAUUUGAUUGUAUGGAUUAUCUUGCGGUUUGUGUCUCUCUACUGAUUGCUCUCGUGGUGCUAAUACGGCUAUUAUUCUUCAGGAAGCAUGACAAUUACAAUGACAGGCCAGAACUGAAAGGGGAAGGUUCAAUGAACUUGGUAAUGAGGAUCUUUGAGAAAAUUUUCUUGAAACCUCAAGGACGGUUUUCCACUUUAGCAGGUGUUCUUGCAACCGCGGUGAUAGGGAUACAACAUGGAAUGCCUUUUGCGAUUACAGUUGCCCUUUGUCAAUAGAAGGAGAAGGUGGUCCAAAAUCAGGCAAAGCCUCAGAAUCUAUCAGCUUGUGUCACCAUGGGACUAAUAACAGUCAUCUGCAUAGAAACAACUGGUGAGCUAAUGUGUAGUCCGGGGGAGGUUAAGGAAUUUUGGAUGGGUGGAAAGGAUUUAUGCAGUGAUGAAGUGGACUCUGAAGCUGACCAAGUUGUUCUUGAAACACUGCAUCAGGGGAUUUCUGCUACCUCAUCCCCAACAAAAGAUUUGCUCAUUUCUUGGCUGAAGACCAGAUGGGGUGCUAACAUGGAGUUAUUGAAUGAAACAGGUAAUACCAUUGAGCAGAGACAAUUGAGCUCUGAUGAGAAAUGCAGUGGGAUUUUAGUGGAGAAAAUUGUGAACGAUGAACAAAUUCUGCAGUUGCACUGCAAUGGGGAUGCAUCAACAAUAUUACAUAAGUGUUCACAUUACAAUGAUAACAGAGGGGAAAGUAAAACUAUGAAAAACCAGAACAGAAGAUUUAAGCAGGUGAUUAAUAAAAUGGAGGAGAAUGGUCUUAGGCCCAUUGCAUUUGCUUACAAGAAAACAGAAGUCCAUGAAGUUACAGAAGAUGGGUUGAUUUUGUUGGCAAUCGUGGGCGUUAGACGCCCAUAUCAAGAAGAGCUUAAAUUGGCAGUCGAAGCUCUUAAAAGGGUUGGAGUAAGCAUCAAACUGGUGUCAGAGGAUGAGCUCUCAACAGUGAGAGCCAGGGCUUCACAACUUGGAAUCUCCCCCGGUUCAAAUGACAUGGAAAUUGAAGGAGAAGUUUUCCGAAGACUGAAUUCCAUGGAAAGGCAGGAUAAGAUGGAUAUGAUCUCUUUGAUGGGAAGGUCCCUCCCUAAGGACAAGUUUCUCAUGGUGGAUCGCUUAAGGAAAAAAGGUCACAUAGUUGCAUUCUAUGGAGGGUUGACCAUAAGCGACACUCCGACCUUAAAAGAAGCUGAUGUAGGAGUCAUAGAUGAUAUCCGGAGCACAGAAAUGGCUAGAGAGAAUGCUGAUCUUAUAGUUAGAAAUGUCUGUUUACUAGCCCCUAUUUGGAAGUCUGGUGCAUGUGCUUACCACAACAUUCAGCAAUUCUCUCAACUUCAGCUCACUGCUUGCAUAUCCGGGCUACUGAUAACCUUAGUGGCAACAAUGCAUUCCGGAGAGUCCCCGUUAUCCGCAGUUCACUUGAUUUGGGUGAACUUGAUUAUGUGCCUUCUUGGUGGCCUCAUGAUGGUGAUGGAGUUACGAGGCCCAGAACUACUCACUCAAAGACCUGCAAAGAGGACUGAGUCACUUAUAACACCAGUCAUUUGGAGAAACAUAGCAAUUCAAGUUUCAUCUCAGGCUUCUGUCUUGCUGAUCUUACAUUUCAUGGGAAAUGCAGUACCAAGCAUGGAUCAAGGCAUCCGGAAUACGAUGAUUUUCAAUACUUUCACCUUGUGCCAGGUCCUUAAUCUGUUGAGUGCCAUGCACUUGGUGAAGAAGGAAAUGCUACUAGUUGUCCUCCACAACUAUUGGUUUCUGAUGGCUUUGGGGGCUGUUUUGAUCAUGCAGGUGAUGAUUGUUGAGUUUGGAAAAGGGCUAGUUAGUGGUGCGAGGUUGAAUGCACUGCAAUGGUUGAUCUGUUUCCUUCUUGCUGCUCUUUCAUGGGGAUUUGAUUGGACCUUUAAAUUGCUUUCAGAUAGCAUCGAAAGAACAACUUCGGCAUUGAUGGUGAAUUCACAUGUGGGGUUCUCAAAUAGGAGGCGCAGAUUAUACAUUUCUAUUUGGUUGUUCCUGAUCUUCUCCGUAUCGUUGUUUUGUUUUCACCCAGUUUCUCAGCUCGCUAGCACAUAUAUCAGUUAAAUUGGAAGUCUCCCAUGGAAGUCUUAACAAAGUUAAUAAACCAUGUAGUCAUCUUGUGGUCUGUCUGUGUUCCUACUUGUUCUGCACAAUGCCAUCUCUAAAAUGUGAAUAAGUUAUUCUCCUGCCUUUUUACCAUGAGCCUUCGCGACAAUAGACCAGAAUGCUAAUAGAUAUUACAUUGUAGUUGAUCAUAGACAAUGUAGGUGAGCUUAUGUUAUUUACUCUUCGGGACAUUCUCCAAUAAGUAUUUAAAUUAAGGAUUAGUUACAUACUUCUAAUCUCGACUGUUGGAUUGCAUCUAAGAGAAUACGAACACAUUAAAUGAAUGCAAGCCAACAGCUAAGAUUAGAAGUAUGUAACCAAUCCUUAAAAUACUUUUUGGAGAAUCUCCCUUUCUGCCCUGCUAUGGUUUGCUGUUGUUUUGUCAAUACUGCGGCAAAUUAACCUUUUCACAGCAGCCAAGGAACAGUUCUAAUUUUAGAGGUUGGCGUUUUUUACCUCAAGCCUACAAAAACACCCAAGGAAAGUUUAUGCUUUCAUGAUUUCAUCAAUGGGGGCCUAUUAAAUAUUUGUCUUCUGGUUGGAGCUGGCAUGAACUUCUACAGUACAACUAAUCUUGUGGCCUGCGUUCACCAACCACAAAAAUUGCACCAAUUUGCCAGCCACGUGGCUAAGAGAUAACCUCUCUCUCACUAGAACAAUCAGUUUGGAAAUCUAAAUCCAAUUGAGAACCAAUAGAAUGUUGCUGAUGUGUAGAUAUCCUAAUCCACAACAUCUUCACAUUCCCGUUAUAACAUCCCAGCGCUCUAGUUGUCCAAGGCAUCUCAUUAGGCCUCACAACACCACCCCACUUCGAACAGGAGAGCAUAGUCAUGGCAACCUCUGCAAUCCAACAAUCAGCAUUUGCUGGCCAGACUGCUUUGAAGCAGUCAAAUGAGCUCAUCCGAAAGAUUGGCGGCCUUGGUGGCGGCCGCAUCACCAUGAGGCGCACCGUCAAAAGCACCCCCCAAAGCAUAUGGUAAGUACCUUGGCUCUAGCCUGUGAGAAUAAGAUAUUUUUUUCCAAGCAACUCUACUAAAACUUCCAUGUGUAUAGAUAUGGUCACUGAUACAUAUUACGCUAUUGGAGUAAAUUAAAGUAUCUAGUAGUAUUGAGAGUCAUGGAUUCGACGUAAACUUCUAAUCAAAAUGAUGUUUAGAUUACAAUGACAGAAUCUCUAACAAUCUAUUCUACCUCAAUGCAUAAAGUUACAGUGUUACAAGACCAACAUGCUCAACAUAGCAUUAGGAAGUUUACACCAUACCCAUACCUUUUAAAGCCAAGGCCUUGAGCUUAUUAUGCUAACCCUCUUCACUGUAAUUAACAAAACAGGUAUGGCCCAGACCGCCCAAAAUACUUGGGACCAUUCUCUGAGCAAACUCCAUCAUACUUGACUGGUGAAUUCCCUGGUGACUACGGAUGGGACACUGCUGGACUAUCCGCAGACCCUGAGACAUUUGCCAAAAACCGUGAGCUUGAGGUGAUCCACAGCCGAUGGGCCAUGCUUGGUGCACUGGGAUGUGUCUUCCCAGAAAUCCUGUCAAAGAAUGGUGUCAAGUUCGGCGAGGCUGUUUGGUUCAAGGCUGGAUCUCAAAUCUUCUCCGAGGGUGGCCUUGACUAUCUUGGCAACCCAAACCUUGUCCAUGCCCAGAGCAUCUUGGCAAUCUGGGCUGUCCAGGUUGUGCUCAUGGGAUUUGUCGAAGGAUACAGGGUUGGUGGAGGACCACUUGGUGAAGGACUGGAUCCACUUUACCCUGGAGGGGCCUUUGACCCACUUGGACUGGCUGAUGAUCCUGAGGCGUUUGCUGAACUGAAGGUGAAAGAGCUUAAGAAUGGGCGGCUGGCAAUGACUUCAAUGUUUGGAUUCUUUGUUCAGGCUAUUGUAACUGGAAAGGGCCCAGUUGAGAACCUAUAUGACCAUGUUGCUGAUCCAGUUGCCAACAAUGCAUGGGCUUAUGCCACCAACUUUGUCCCUGGAAAAUGAAGAAACCUAAAUGCAUGGCUGUUCAUAUGUAACAUUACCCGAACUUCUUGCCUUUGUUGAGGUUCUGUUGUUGUGGACUCCAUUAGUUCUGAUGUAAUCUUACUAGAAACUGCUUGUAUUGAAAUCACUUAUCCAGUAAAACCGCCCAGCUCCUUUGUGCUUGAACUCCUUAUUUGUCUAGAUGUGUUGAACAUUCAAAAGUUCCAGUCAACAAAUGCAUGCUUUGCUACAAUAUAGUAAAUCUAAACCAGAGAAUAAAUAUAUAACAACCAAAAUACAAGGGAAAAUAAAAAUUAAAACCAAAUCAUAUGAUUAUCAGAUUCAUCUUAGGUUUCUUCAUCUAUUCCUCCCCAUUAGGCAAAUUAAGUUUAACCAGCGCAUACAGAGAAUGUGGGAAAGAUUUCUGCAAACUUUUACCCACUGAACACUGGCUAUCAUCUCUAAUUUUAAUAUCAGCAUAAUGAAGACUGCCUAAGCUAUUAGUAUUACGGACACAUAGUAUAUGGAUUUGGCCAAUGCAGGGUGAAAGGAAUGAUGGGAAGAGCUAUCAUCUCUUACUAUAAUCUCAGUAUAAUGAAGAUUGCCCAAAUAGCUAAGGGCAGCCACAAUCCUGUUGCAAGAAAGGCUGUUUUGGGCUCUGGGCAAGCCAUACUGGUAUCGUGUCGAUAUAGAUGUCAACAUGUUUGUCAUAUGGAUGGUGAUAUGUUAUUUAUAUGGAUGUUGAUAUGUUGUCAGUGUGGAUGUCGAUAUGUUGUUGAGUAUCCCACUCCAGCUACAGUGGAGUGGGAUAUAUGUAUAUAAUAUUACACAAUAAGUGCCCACAAAGAGAAUGUACAAAACAAAGAGAAUCAGAGCACAAAGAGAAUGUAUGAAACAACAAAUUUGGAAAAUUUUCAGCAAACAAACUUUUGCCAACUGAAACUUUUCACAUGAUGGGAGGAGCUAUUAUCUUUCAGUAUAAUGAACAAUUCUUGUAGGGGUAACCAGUAUACAACGAAGAUUGCCUCUAAUACUAAGGGCACCUAGUGUACGAGCCUUCUGCCAAUGCAGGGUGAAAGAAGCGAUGGGAAUGACUAUUAUAUCUCACUGUCACUAUAAAUUCAGACUCUCUGUAUAAGAUAGCCUAUCUUGCACUAGUCUCUGGCCAAUUCAGCAUCUAGGGAGAGCAAGACCUAUGCAGUCAUAUCCCUGUAACAAGGGGGGCUGUUUUUGCUGGGGACAAUCAUUACAUCAAGAAACACCUUCAAGAAUGUCUAUACUGCUAAAUCUCAAAAGGAACACAAAGAAAUGCAUAAAAUCAGAAGAAAUGAUACCAGUGGCCAAUUUUAAGAGUGGAAGAAUAGAGGUAGAGGCAUUCUGAUGCUUAUUGCUUCGAGCAGAUCAACACAAGCGUCAAUGCAGCAGACAAACAAGUCAGUCACCAAAAAUCUUUGCAAGAACAUGACCCAUUUCUGAAAUGAUGGAAACGACUAUUAUCUCUCACAAUAAUCUCACGAUCAUAGAUACUGGAUAGGAGUUUAGUGACAGAGUGGCAAUCGUUACAGACACGAAGAUUCUUUAUAAUGCGAAUAGGACUCCCAGAUUCCAAAUUAAUAAGACCAUAUGCAAUAGCCAAUCUCUCGCUAUGGUUUUCCAAUUCAGCUUCCUUCUCUUUUUCCUCUUCAAGACACAACAGAACUUGACUUGUGUCAGGAACAUGUCCUUCGGAUUUCAGUUUCUCUCUCAUCUCAGUCAACUUAGAAUAUAUGUCUUUUGUCCGAGGAUGUGAUUUGUCACCGACAAUAAACCCAUGAAGCACACCUCUGUGCUCUAUGGAACUGCAUCCUGGGUCCUUUUUUACUCCUCUCUUUCUCAUAAUUUCUCUUACCUGUGAAACUUUCUCCCACUUAUCAGCCGCAGCAUACAUGUUAGAAAGAAGAACAUAGCAUCCAACAGUGUCUGGAGACACGUCAAUCAAAUGGCGAGCUGCAUAAUCACCAACUUCAACAUUUCCCUGGUUCCGAGCACCACUAAGCAAACUCAUCCAAAUUACUUUGUUUGGUUUCAUGGGCAUACCUUCAAUGACAUUCUUUGCCUCGUCCAGACAACCAGCGCGGCAUAAAAUGUCUACAAAACAACCAUAGUGUUCAAUUGUGGGUUCAAUUUCAUAAUCAUUUAUCAUCAGAUUGAAAUAGUAACGACCAAGAUCAACCAAUCCUGCAUGACUACAUGCAUUCAAGACUCCGAUAAAAGUUAUACUAUGAGGGCGCAUUCCAUUUUUGCGCAUCUCAAGGAAUAGCUCAAGAACCUGGUCGGCCAUACCAUGCAUUCCUAAACCAACAAUUAUAGCAGUCCAAUGCCCCAAUUUCUUCCUGUCUAUAGCUCGAAAUACAGCCAGAGCACUCUCUAUGCUCCCACACUUGGAAUACAAUUCUAUCAAUGAUGUACCAAGCACACCAUCUAAAUCAAAUCCAUGUUUUACCAUGAAAGAAUGUAUCCAUCUCCCCUUACUUAGAGUGGCUAAUCCUGAAACGGCAGAAAGAGCACUGACUAAUGUAGCAUGACUAGGCAUAAUAUCUUCUUCCAAAAUUUCCUGAAACAACUCCAAUGCUUCCAUAAACUGUCCAUUAAAUUCAUAACCUGCAAUCAUCGAAUUCCAAGUAAUUAUAUCUCUUGUUGGCAUCAGACCAAACAAUUGACGUGCCAUCUCAAAAUCUCCGGAUUUCAUGUAACCAUUAAUCAUGGCAUUCCAAGAAACCAAAUUUCUAUUUGGCAUCCUAUCAAAUAUCUCCCUAGCCAUCUCUACCUUCCCGCAUUUUGAUAACCCGUCAACUAAAACAGUCCACGAAAAAGAAUCUCUCUCCUGCAUUUGAUCAAACAAUUCCAUUGCAACUUCUACUUCUCCACAUCUCGCAUACCCAUCAAUCAAAGAAUUCCAAGUAACCAAAUCUCUAUCAAGCAUUUGAUCAAACACUUUCCUAGCCAAACCAAUCUCACCACACUUUGAGUAUAAACUAACCAAACUACUCUGCACAAACUUAUCCAAACCAAGCCCAAUUUUCAACACCAACCCAUGAAUCUGUUUCCCUUCCCCAAUCGCAUUUAACCGAGCACAACCCUUUAUCACACACGGUACAGUAAAAUUAUCCGGAACAAGUUCAUGAAGCAAUUCAUAGAACAAAACAAUAGCAUCAUGGGAACGUUGGUUCCCAACAUAGCAUUUGAUGAGAACGUUCCAGGAAACCAAGGUGGGUUCUUCAAUUUGAUCGAAGACGGAGCGAGCAGAGUCAAGAUUGUUGAUUUUGGGGUCUGCGUAGAGAGAUAAGAAACGGGAAGCAAUUGCUGGGUGGCUGAAAGUUCCGGUUUUGAGGGAUAUGGCGUGGUGUUGCUCUGCUUCUCGUUGGGUUUUACAGGUUUGGAGAAGCGAAAAGGGGAGGCUUUGAGGAGAGAGCAAUGGUUGAUGGAGAGAGUGAGAAGGCGUGAGUUGAAGCAUUGCUAUGGCUUUGGUGGAUCAGAUGAUUGACUGAAGGGCUCUGUGUGUGGCUUAUUAUAAAGGGAAAUAGCUCAAAAUAUCACCAAUUUUAUAAUUUUAUGUCAAAAUACCACCCCUUCUCAAAAAUUUUAAAACUAUGACCUAUAAAUACAUUUUUAUUGUAAAUUGAUUGCACCCAUAUCACAUUUUCAGAAAACCUGAGGGGAACUACGGGUUUAGAAUGACUUCGCCUCCGCCUCUUUUCUCGUUCGAUCGUCUACGGCCUCCGCUUCCUCUCUCCUUCGUUCUUCUACGCCCCUGCCUCCGCCUCUGCUUUUUCGAUUGUCUGCCUUCCUCCUCCUCCUCUGCUUUUUCGAUUGUCUACCUUCCUCCUCCUCCUCCUACUUGGCUCUUCUCCUUAGCUAUCAGCUAUUUCAUACCCAGAAGUGUUGGAUCCUGAGCAAGCAGUGAAAGGGCUAUCUGGUAAUCUAAUGACUAAUACUAUUAGUUGGAUAUGCUGUAUGUUUUCUCUUCAAAAUUCUAGAUUUAGUAGGGUUGGCAUACACUAUCAUGACCUGAUAUAUUUUCAGUCUGUUUUAAUUACUGGCUAUUAGGGUGUGGUUUGAAACUUUGACUGAUGGGGUGGGGGAGCUUGGACGGAGUUUUCUUAUUUUUGUGAAAUGGGUUUUGGAGGAUUAGGGAUUUUAGGGGAGUGUGUGAGUUCGCUGUUUUGGUGGAAGAUAUAUGCAGAAGGGUUAUGAUGAUGAUGGGGGUGGGUUUUUGUGUUUUGUUAAUUCUUUUGUUUGUCGGAAGAAGAAUGAGAUAUUUUUCCAACUCUUAUGAGUGAGUUGGGUUCAAAAGCAAUUAUUGUUGGUUUUAUAUUUUGAUUUAUUUGCAACUGUCUUUAUAGAAUUUAAUUUUUAAUAGUAAUAUAUGUAUUCUUCAUGAAUGGUUUUGCUCUGUUCAGGUGCGUCUGUCUACAUGGGUUUGUGCUUGAAGCAUAAUGCAAGUUUUGUUAAUAAAUUCUCUGUUUUAUGCUGUGCAGGUGUGAAUUGGAAUAAAUAAAAAAAAUUUGCUGGGUUUUUGAGACUUGUGAUGUUAUUCAUCAGUAUUCAUGCCUGGUUUCUUCUUGCAAUAAUUUUGUUGAUUGUGAGCUUUUCCCUCUAGCGCUUGUUGCUGAUACUGAUUGUGAAGGUGAAUUGGUUGUGCUUUAUGAUGUUUGAACCUCAUUUCUGUUUCUUCUCUUUCAUGCCAAUAGGUUGUAGGAAACUCCGCUCUCAAACAUAGGCAAUGAACAAUUGAGUUGACAUGCUGCUGGGAGAAUUGUUUGCAAUGCAGAGAAGACUUGUCUCUUACUUUUGUGAUGAUGAACUGGGUGAGAUUCUUUAAGAGUGAUGUGUCAUAUUUGAAUUUUUGAAUAUCAUAUUUUAGUUUUGUUUUUAAGUUUUGAACCUUGUUCUAUUUCAGCAUCCUAUAGACCUGUGUUAACUUAUAUCUACAUGUGAUAUGGAUAUAACUUAUGCUUUCAAAUUAAUUUGACUUGUGUUAUAUCUUGUUUCGUACCUUUGUUUCGAAAAUUUCUUUGUAAAGACCAAAAAGAAUAGUGUGUUUUUUUUUUUGGGUGGUAUUUUUGUUAAUGAUAAUUAUAGUAUUGAUUACUGGGUAGAGAAUGAGCUACAUUUUGUGCUUCAUGAAGUAAAAUGGCUGAGCAACUCAAAUUUGGUUUACACAACCAAGGCAAAAGGAAAAUACUAAUUUUGGAGCUUAUAUAUAGUGGUUAUAUAAGUUGCAGUUUUCGUUACUUGUAAAUCAUGAUUUCCUUAGCGUAUUUAAUUGCAUUGUGUUUCUCGUUUUGGGUAGAACAGAGUUUUCAAUGAUAGGAUUUAUUUGGAAAAAAGGAAUUCUGGUAGUUAUGCUGUGUUCUCUAUUUUUGCAUGAAAGUUGAAAGUAAGAUGUCCCCUUUAUAUGUGUGACAGCUUCAGGAUUAUGGCCUUCGUAUACUGAAGGGAAAUUGCUAUUUGAUCCUGUUAUAUCUUUUAUGGGACAAACAAAUGAGGGAAGUAGUGUUGAUUCAUCACAGAAAGCUGAGUCUUCAGAGCAUCCGCCAAAGGUUGACAAAUCAUCAGGGGAAUCUGAAUCUCCACAAAAACUCUCUACUGUUGAGGCAAAGGAAGGGGUCAAAAUAGAAACUUUACAACACUCUUCAACUGAACAGAUGGCUGAUAAGGAGGAAACUGAAGUUGUCAAGGAAGAAACAGAUGAUAAGCAUGCUGCGACGGUGGAGGAAACAAAGACAGUGAUAGCAGAGCCUGAAAAAUCUGAAUCUGAAUCAUCUUCACUGCCAGUUGAGCCCUUUGAACCCACUGUUAAGAAUGAUGGCCCAUCAGAAUCUGUGGGUUCUCAAGAUGACAACAAGAUUUCAGUAGUGGGACCCUCAGUAAAUCCAGAAACAAUGCAGGGUAAGUCAAGAGCUGUUGAGGUAGAUCAAGUUGAGGAGGGUCAUACUGUUCUCCGCGUGAGGCACAUGAUGUUGAUGUGGAUGAACAAAAGACACAGGUAGAGCAGAAGGAUGGACAUAUGACUCAGGCUGGAGAGAUUGUUGAAACAGUUGCUAUGGUUGAAGCUGAGACUCCAACUGAUAGCCAGCCUGGAGGUUUUCCUCUUUGCUAAUUUAGAAUCAUGUGCAGUUAUGAUUUUAGAUCUGUAGAUAACCUGUUGUUGC